rnacentral:lncRNA from 1 species
UGCUAUGCAUCUUGCUACUGAACAUAGAGAAAGUUGAAGCUCUCAUCAAAUGUUUGAGUGUCUUUAUUGGAUCAUGUCAGAUUGAUUGGUUUAAAUUUCUGUUAAUGAUUCUAUGAACUUGAGUCCUGUCUCCAUUAUGAACUUGAGACCUUCAUGUGGGAUUGUGGAAAGAUAUUAUAGGAGAAUGAGGAGAAUUCUACCUUAGAAUUUCUAUUCUGGUCAAGAAUAGGCUCGGGACUAGGUUCGGGUUAGACAGAUGAGUGUAGUGCUCUUUAUAAAAGGCUUUCCCUUUGCUUUUAAGUAUAGCCUCUGCUAGAUAUGCUAGAAUGAUAGUUUAUGGGAGGAUGGGGGCCAUUGUUCCCCUCAUUUUGGAAGAUAUUUUUAGAAUUGAGAGAUAUGGGAGGUGGAUCUAUUAAUGGAGCUCAUUUAUGUUAUGAGUUCGCAAGCAGUAGAGCAAAUUUGAACUCAAAAGGCCACUCUCCAUACGCCUCAUGCGUGUUAUAGAUGCUUGUUUUUAGAUUUAAUUUAAAGAUCACAUCAAGCCUAUUUGUUUUCGAUGUGGGAUGGGAUAGAGAAUUUUUUACCAAAAAGGGUGGAGUAGCUUUGAGCUAAAAUGGAAAUUGCACUGAAACAAGAUUAAGACCAAGGUCCACUAACCAACUAUCUAAUCAAUUCUUCACUGUGGCUCACAUGUGCUGUAACCUCAUCUUUCAAGAAUUAAUUUAAAGCCCUUAUCAACUCUAUUAGUUUCCGGUGUGGGACACUGGGGUGACCCGUUUCAAACCUAAAGCCCAUUAGGUCACUCUCUAGUUUCCAUUAUGCAAAAAUGGAUGGCAUUAGGCCACUCCCCAUUAUGCCCACAUGAGUCCAAUUCUAUGUUUCUCGAUUUAAUUUAUGCAAAAGGAUGUUAUUGCAGGCCAAGGGUUGGCCAGUGAGCCACUUUUGUAAAAUAAUGUUGUAUAUAUAUAUAUAUAUAUAAUUGGAUGUUUUAAAUUUUUGCUCAAAUAAACAUGAAUAUUUAAUUCCACAUUUAUUUUUGUAAUGAUAAGUAUGAAAAUAAUAUAAGUUAAACAAUGUAAUAAUUUUUAAAAUUAUAAAAUAAUAGGAUGUAUAACUUUGAUAUGUAGAUAAAAUUAAAUAAUGGAAAUUUUCAUCUAUCUUGAAUAUAUGUUCAAGCUUACAUACUAUACAUUGUUUUAUUUAAUAAAAUUAAACUAUUAAUACAUUUAUAUUUAUUUGUUCAUGAUUUAAUUUAAUACUAAAGAUGAAACAAUAAAAUAUUACUAAGCUUUUAAAUUGUUUAUGUAUUUGCAUAUAUUCUUAAUUUAUUAUAGUUAUUAUUAGUUUUAAUAACAGUAUAAAUUAUAUAUUUAUGAAGUCAUGUGGAUAUCAUGGUUUGACUGUGGUUGAACCACCGAUUUGACUAAUGAACUGUGGUCAAUAACUUUUUUGAUUCAAUGACUAGUUCAGUUUUGAAAACAUUGUUUGUCCCUUGGCCCAAAAGUUUGAGGUACCUAUGCUCCAUUGACAACAUGUUUUGUUGUCUAGGAAUGACAUGGAGGAAGAUCUCAACCAUUGAACUCCUUAUGAGGUGUGGAUGAUGAUGAACGGAUGUAGUCUAAUGUUAAACUAAUGAAGAAUCAGAAAAUCGCAUUCUAAUUGGCAAUUUUGGAUUGCAAUGGAUGUUUCUAGAUUCAGUUAAAGAUCUCCUGAUGGGAUAGAAGGUUCAAGGUUUGGAUAAGUAGCAGAAAGUGUAACAUAUGGCUUCCUUUUGCUUGUUUUGAUGCUUUUAGAGACAGCAUAAUGAUCAAAUAUUGAAUGACAAAGUUUCUUGAUUAAAAAUUAGGAGAGCUUUGUUAGAACCUUGUUGGAGUGGUCUAGAGCUUUAUUGGGGAUUGAGAAUUUUAGAUUGUUGAAUUUCUUAGAUAAUCUCAAGUAGGAAUAGUUAGCUUUAUGUCACGGGCCUAAAGUUCCAAUGCAGUAGCACGACCCUUGUGGUGACCCCUGUGGGCAUGAAUCAAGGGGCUUAGUCUGCACGUCAUGCAUUCCAAUUGCCCUAUGUUGAUUGGUUUUGUCUUGCCAUGGACUCAUUAAUGGAACGACUCCAGCUCCUGACCAAUUUGUGUAGGAGUGGCCAAACUCCUCUCCAUUAUCAAGUCCUUGACUAGUAACAAGCUCUCCAAACUUAACCUGUCGGCGUGCUUGAACUUUGAAGAAGCUUCCAACACCACUUACACGCCCUUUCCUUGAAGCAAUUCCCAUUUCAUUACGCUCAAAUCAGUCAACAUACUAGUCUUGAUUAGCACCUUCGCUACGGUCAUGGACACCAAACAAACAGUUCGUGACACUCUCCCCCACCCAAUCUCUUGCACGCCCUCGUGCAGGGGUUUAUGUCUUUGCCAAAUGAUGCCCUCAAACGUUGCUGCUUCCCAUGAGCCAUCAAUCACCAAAGGUCCGCUGUUUAUACCAAAUGGGCCGAAGGGGACAUCCACUCACCCAGGAUGCGACAUCCACUCGUUGUAUUAACCCAGUAACACCCCGAAAGUGUUAACCUAGUAACACCUCGGAACUGUUAACCCAGUAACUCCCCGGAAGUGUGCACCUAGACACGAACUUCCACCCUUAGUAGGCGACACCCCUAUGUGUUACUAGAAUAACCAGCGACACCUUGCAAUCUAGAGGCACCCAUAUUCCCUCAUAGGUCCUCAUAAGUGUAGCUUCGCUACACGCCACAAUGCCAAUCUUUCCACUGUUGAAACAUGAGGCUUCAUAGGCUACUUGUAUUGCCAUCAGGGAGAUAACUCUUUGGCCAAAGAUUGUUAGAAGGGAACACUGCUAUGCUUGACCUUCUGUCUCGUUCUGAUAGCGGCACGGCCCAUGUAGCAACCCUUGUGGGCAUGAAUCAAGGGGCUUAGUCUGCAUGCCAUCCAUUUCAAAUGCUCUAUGCUGAUUGGUUUUGUCCUGCCAUGGACUCAUCAGGGGAACGACUCUAGCUCUCGAUCAAUUUAUGUAGGAGUGGCCAAGCUCCUCUUUAUUGUCAAGUCCUUGACUAGCGACAAGCUCCCCAAACUUAACCAGGUUGGCCUGCCUGAACUUUGAAAAAGCUUCCAACACCACUUUCAUGCCCUUUCCCUGGAGCAAUUCCCAUUUUAUUAUGCUCAAAUCAGUCAACAUACUAGUCUUGAUCAAUACUUUCGCUAUAGUCAUGAACACCAGACAAACAGUCUAUGACAUUUAGCUUGCUGUUUUUUGGCUAGCAUGUUUGUUCUUGUUUGUUUGUUUUUAUUUUUAUUUAUAUUUUAUUUUUUAUUUUUCCCCCUCUAGUGCCUCUUGCGUACUUCCUGUGUAUAGAGGGUGCGCUGUCUUUUGUUGGCACUUUUAUUAUCUGUUGUUUGCCUAUAAAAAGAUUAUCCUCUUACUUUGGAUUGUACAAUAAUAAUGUGAAAUCCAUUAUCACACAACAGGAACCUACUAGUUAUUUCAGCUAUUUUUCCUUUGAUAGUUUGUAGGUCAUUCAUGAUAAGAGAAACUGUAAAAUUCGUGGUUUUCACUUAUGUACGAGAUAUUUUAUUUCCAAUUAUUGUCUCAGUGGCACUUUAUAUGGGGAUUGCGAUUUGAAUUGCAACUGGUGGAAAACAUGCAGUUUACUGUUUUAGAGGAUUUUGAUCCCACAAUUCUGGCCUAAUUUAGUAAAGUGCUAACCGGGGGGAAGGAUUUCCUGUUGAGUGGUUCUUUUUGCUAUUUGUUUCACUCUUUUUUCUUUCUUGGGGUAUUUGAAGUGUUAGUAGUCACGCCCAUCCAAAGAAAAGUGUACACCUAUAUUAGCUAUACAUUUACUUUCUAAUGCAUCUUUUUUUGAGGAAGUUAAAACAGGGGCACAUUGAAUAACAUCUUCCAUUCUAUGAUAUGUUUGAUAUAUUGUUUUAUGGAUUUUUUUUUCCAUCAGUUUUAUUUGUUAUGUAGGCAAUGCAGAUGGCAUGGGAAAUAUUAGAAAAGAAGAGCUCUACCAGGCUAGUGCAAUUCUGAAGGUGCAUAAUAGGUCAAAAGAACAAUGCAUGUUUUGUAUUUUCCCAGCACCAUUCUGGCAGCUAAAAAUCCAAGCUUCUCUAUAUGCAUCUUCACCUAGUUUUUUAUGUUUUCAUUGCUCCUGAGUUUAUUUAUCCGGCUUUGCAUUCAUACCAAAGAUAGGUGCUCACAGGACAUAGAGUAGUUCAGCUGUAAGCUUUGAAAAAAAAAUCAUCCAGUAAUUACCCUAUUAUUUUGUUUCAUUUUAACUUCUAUAUGCAGGUUCCACUUCAACAAGUGAAGAUCCUGGACCACCCAGAUUUCCAGGUUCCACCUUAACUGGUAGUAUGGUUUGAAAUACAUCUUGAGGUAUAAGUUUGGAUAUAAUCUGACUUGAGUGCCAUUAUUAGGAUGGUUUUGGGAAAGUGUGGAAUCAUGCUUUACUGGCAAAGAUCAUUGAAGAGGAAGUUAUUUCUCAUGCCAUUGACACAGUAAGAUCUUGCUUUCCAUUUGCUAGUUAGGUUAUUCCUUAGCCCACAGUGAGUUUAUUCACUAUCUAUCAUAUGGACAUGAAUUCUUGCAUUGUUAAAGGGUCUUCAACCUUUUAGCUUUUGAUGGUGUUGCAACAAGGAGUGUGUCAAACCCUGAAUCUCAAAUUCAUAAAUUAAUCCAAAAUCACAAGGAUCUAACUCGAACUUUUGAAACUUGAGAUGGUGUAAAAGGACAAUUAUGUGAUUUCCUAGGCCUAAGAUCUUAUAAUUGUUUAUGAUAAAGUAAGAACAUAAAAAAUAUGCAAAUGAUAGCUUACAAAAAUGUCAAUUUAUUUGAUUAUAUAUAUUAGGAAAAUUAAUUGUCUAGCAACUCUUAUGUUUCCCUAGCCAUGAGGCACUAACUAAAUGUAAUUAGCAUUAAACUGGGUUUAACCUAUAAUUUUAAGUGAUUGGUAUUAAACUAGGUUGAAUUCAUGAUAACCUCUAAUUAAAUUCAAUUUAUCCUAAUGCAAAGAUUUAGAUUUUAAAUAAUGCUACUUGGUAUUAUUGAUUGGCUAGAUGUUUUACUUCAUUCCAUUACGACAUUUAUCUCUAUCUUCUACACUAAUUUUGUUUUAUGUUUCUAAACUUCUGUUUUCAUAUUGUUCUUUCAGAUAAUUACUUUCGAUGAUUAUGGUGUUUCAGGCCAUUGCAAUCAUAUUGACGUGCAUCGAGGGUUAUGGUAAAUUGAUUUUUUUACUUUUAAAUUCCAUUUAUAAACUUGUUAUGUUCAAAGAACCACUUCAAUCAUGGUACAUGCGAUAAUGAUUUCAAAUCUAUGGAUGAGUUUACUAUGCAAAAUCAAUGGCUACUAUAAUCCCAUGGUUAUAUAGAAGAAAUUUCCCCAAAACAGAGAGUAGCUACUAUUUAUGACAAAAUGGUAGUUGAUGUAGCUGAAUAAUUCUAGCAUAACCAUUAUUGGUUAUGAGUGGUAUGUAAGUGCUUUUCUAUUCAUUUUUAUGACCAUGCCUAAUGUAAUCACAUGGUCAUGCAGAAGAAAUUUUAUGGGAAAGGAAAGCAAGGAUUUUUGCAAAUAGAUGGAGAGCCUUUAAGACAGUGGGAUCAAUUCUAUUUCUCUUCAUCCCUCUAGGUAUUGACUUUUGUAACAUCUGAGGGCAGUCCUGUAAGCAUUAUCUAGAUUAGAACCUAAUGUGCAAAUGUACUAGGUUGUCAAAGGAGACACUACCUAUUUGGAUACCUCUUCCCGUGGGUGUUGUUAAACUGAAUUUUGGCGGAUGUACUCUGGGUGAUUUAGGACAAAUAGGAAUUGGCUAACAGGUCAUCUUGGAAUACUGGUAUGAGUGUUCUUGAACAUGCUGCAGAGGACCUAGCCAUUAAGGAAGAGACUAGCUUUUUUGGAAGGCUUGAAGAUAGCCAAAGUUGAAGGUCUUUUUAAUCUUUUGGUAGAGGGAGAUUUACCUAUAGUUAUAUCCCAUGGUCUUGCAAACUAGGUUCCAAUCUAGCAUAAUAAGGCUCAAUUGGAUGUCUGCAAAAGCUUCAUUGAUAGAAGCCCAUUGUAAAUAAUAGAAAUAGAAAAAGUCCCAAAUUGAUUCUAAGGUCCUCUAUUUAUCCUCAAAAAUCCUUGCGUUCCUUUCCCACACAAUGGUCCAAUCAAAGUGAGGCUAGUAAUGUGCCAAAGUGUUCUACCUUGAGGAAGUCCCCCAAAAACUUUAAACGAUAUAAUCAACAUGUCCUCCACCUUUGUAGGUCAAACUCAAUCAAUUCCUGCAACUUGGAACAAUCUACGCCAUAACGUCAUUGCAAUAGAGCAAUGUAAAAAAGCAUGAUUUGUAGACUCCCUACUCCCCUUGCAUAUAACACACCAAUCUGGACUAAGCACUUUGUAUGGUCUUUUCUAUCAAAGCAAGUCAUUAGUAUUAACUUUCUUAUUUUCCACAAGCCAUGCAAAGGCCUUCACUUUUGUUAGAGCUUUGGAUUUCUAAAUAAAAUUUGUAGGAAUAAAAGGAUUUAAAUUGGUCGAAGCAGAGAUGGCAUUAAAAAUGGUACUAAUUGAGGACAAUCCCAAGGAUGUCAAGGACCAAGCUUUUGUGUUAGGAAAAGUGGGUGGCAAAUAGACUAUGUGCUAAAGCAGACAUUAGACAAGCUAGCUCCUCAACUUCUUGCUCUAAGAGGUUAUGAAAAAAAUUGAAGUUCUGAGGUAUAGAGAGGGAGGAGAAAGCCGGCACUGAGGGAAUAAUAGAGUUUCUCAACCUCACUAUUCUAUAGAUGUUUGGGAACUGCUCAGUAAGGGAUUUAUCACCUAAUCUAAGUCCCCCCAAAAGCGGAUUUUUGUAUCAUCUUUCACAAAAUAACAAGUGAAACAGAAGAGGUUCAUGGAAGCUAGAUGGGGGUUGUCACUAAUUUUGAUUUUGCCUCAAAGUGGGGUGCUCCUUUUGUUGAAUUCCUUGCUUAGUUGAUCAAGAAAUGGAUUCAUUAAUAAAGAGGGGACUAAAAUAUUUGAUCUCUUUUCUGUGUGAUUUUCUAACUCCAAGAGGGUAUCAUUUUAUAGCCCUUCCUAAUUUUUGAUCUAGUGUUGUAAGGUUGUUAUAGGGGAAGGACUUCCCAUCCUUCUUUGUACUUAAUCAUUUAAUGGCAAUGAGAUUUUGUAUUCGAUUAAUAAUAAUAAUAAUGAAGUAAUAGUAGUUGAUAGAUCCACAAAAGCUUAUGUAAAAAAAAAAUGUAAACAUAAAAAUACCUAUAAUAAAACAGGUAAUAACACCAUUCUUACUCACAAAGCGUAACACAUCCUAGUAUACAAACAUAAUCACAUCCUAGCAUUGCCAUUGCCAUGGUAUUGAUUCAAAGUCAUAUUCCUAAUGGCAAACAAUUGGGCCUUGAAGGAGCUUCACUACCCUUCUGCUUUUGAAAUUUUUGUGGAAGGUAAACAAUAGAUUGGUUCUUGUAAGAGAUUCAAUGACUCCAUCCAUCAAAUCUGCCUUACUCAACUUGGAAUGAGGGAUCGUGCCAUAUAAGGCUUAGAUCAACUCCCUCCAAAAAAAGUUUGCGCCACGAAUGUGGAAUUUGACCUGAGCCAUUAAAGUGUUUGGUUAAUUCAUUGCCACUAAGGAUGACUAAAGUGUUUGGUUAAUCCAUUGCCACUAAGGAUGAAGAAAUUGAUAUUAUUGCCUAUAUGAAAGGGCCAUCAUGGGAGGUGGAUUAAAAUUGAAAUCUGCAAAAUCUCUUUAAAAUAGUGCCAAUAAAUUGUCAAAAUUUUGUCACAAUCUCCAUAUUGCUAAUAUGAGAAUGAUAGAACACUACAUGUGCCAAAAUAUUAUUGAUAUUUCCUAAUAUUUUUGGGAAAAUAUCAACAUGGAAAGGAGAUGAUAGAGGAAAUUAUGGAGGGGAUUGUGGGCAAUAGGACAUAAGUCAACAACAAUUGAGCCCAUUUAUUGGUGAAGCUGACCAUAUAUGUUGCACACAACACUAAGACCAUGGGUGUGGAGGAGUAGGUCUAGACAUAGGAGUUGUUGGGAAGCAAUAUAUGAGGAGACAUGGUGCUAAGCAUGUAAGGCUACCAUCAUAUGUUGAGGAGUUCCUUUCCCUGAGUUUUGUAUUCAUGAGUGUAGGGACUCAUUGUAGUGACUCAUUUAAUGGGGCUCAACCUCAAGGUUAUCAUCCUUAUAGUCAUAGACAAUGAUUAACAUAUGGUAGUCAGGGGAUCUUUGAUUCUUCUUCUCGAGAAAUGUCAUAUAGAGUUCCUAAUAUGGCACAAGGAGAAAUUCAAAUAAACAUUUGAGUGGACUCACAAUUUCCUAUUCAUGGAGAAGUAGUGGAAAGGAAUCAAGACCUAUGUUUGGCAUGUUCAUAACUACAUGCAAAAUUAUGCAAACUCCAUCACAUGGUACUAAUAUUGUUUAGACCAAGAUAGUAUUUGAUUGUCGUCAAUUAUCUUCUAGGCACAUAGGUUAUCAUUUCAGUAUUAAAUGUAAUGUGUUUUCAAAUAUUGAAAUUUAUUGAAAUUUUUUUUUUUAUCUUACUUCAGUAUCAGCUAUUCACUCUCAAAGUCUUUUUUGUUAUCAACACACAUUAUAUUAUUAACAAAUGAUACUAAUUUUAUUAUACAUAUCUUAUUUUAUUAAAAAAAAAAAAACCAAUUUAAUUUGUGCAUUAUUGAUUAUGUUAUCAUUUCUCAAAAUUUUGUCUAAAAUUUCCAUGUUUUGACCUCAAUUUCAUGAUUUAAACAUUUUAACCAAUAUUGAUAUCAAUAUUUCCAUAAAAUCGAACCACUGAUGUUUCCAUUGAAAUCUACAUUUUCAUCCUUGGUUACCUUUGGGUUAUCAAUAACUUAAUUUGCACAGCUUGUGGGUAUAAUCUCAAACCUUGAUGGAUCAUACUUUGAUUCUUAAAGCCGAUCUCAAGUUUUAGGAUAAAGUUCCCUGGUUCUAUAACUGUUCUAGUAUUUUAAACCUGUGCAAACUUCUCUUGGAUAAAGUUCCAUGGUAUACUUUGAACCUAAUCCAUGGGCGAUGCAAGAUUAACUGUUUCAAGCCAUAUUGGUUGGUUUUAAGUAGUUGAGUUGUAGUGAUUCACCAAAUUUUUGCUAACAUGGGUAUGGUAGUAGUUUGUAUAAUUUCUAUGCUACCUAGUAUCAUUUGAUCAAAUGAUCAGUUUUGUGGUUUCCAUUAUGAUUGUUUGAGUUCUGAUGAUUUUUUAAUGUUCCUUAACUUACUGUAAUAUGUGAUGACACACUUCCUAGUGCCAUCCUUUUUGUUGAAUAAUUUUUUUUUUCUUCUUAUUCUUUUCCUUUUCUUUCUUUUUAAGUGAAAAUUGAAAGUUAAAAAGGAAAAAACUCUUAUAUAAUCAAAAAUCUAAAAUCUAAUGAUGCAAAACUGCAACCUGUGGGCUAUAUUGGUUUCUUACAUUGGUUGAACUGAUCUGCAAAGUCAGCAGAUGGUAUUCACUACAAUAUUUUCUGAAAUUAAUUUUUUUUCCCAUUUCUUGUACUGUAAGCAGGAUGCUCUUACAUGAUACUUCAGAGAGAAAUAUUGAAGCAUGGGAACUUGUAUGUUUUUAUUUGUUUGUUUGUUUUUCUCCUCAUGUUUUUAUUCACUUGCUAUUUUGUUGGCAUUUCAUCAACUUAGAGGGCGUUUGUUUUUUCAACUUUUUGUUGAAAACAAUUUGUUUUCAGACUUUAAGUUGUUUGUUUUUCUAUUUUUUCGUAACUUAUUAUAAACGUUUUGCUGAAUAGAAAAAAUGCUGUGUUGGUUUUUCUUUACUUUUUAAUGUUUAAUAGAAAUAGAAUAUUAAAAAAACGAACAAUCUAAUACUUAAUAUUAUUAAGCAUUAAAAUUCUAUUUAGAAUUAAGUAAAAAACAAACACCACCUUAGUGUCUCUCCCUCUCAUAAUUUUCAUAGAUUAGGUGAAGAAGGUAUAGCUGUAAAAUUCUUGCAUGGUUAUACUCUAUACCAACUGAAAGGGAAAGAAUGUGCUGAACAAAUUGAAGGUUGGAUUACACCCCUUUAAAACUAUUCAAUCCUGGAAGCCAUGGAAAUAGUUAUCGAUCCACAAGAAAUGUGUAAAAUAUUUUUUCCAUUUUUUUUUUUUGUGUGUGUGUGUUAAAACACCCCUUUUUCCUAAAUCCAUUUGAGUGGAUUUGCUUUGGUGCUGUGAGGGAGUAUGCAGCCAGAGCAUGCAGCCAUUUGGGAUAAACAUCUAGCAUUUAUUUGCAUACUUGCUCUAGGUAUUUCCACUACUUGGUGGCCUCAAGUUAAUAGCAUAACUAUAAAAGAUUGAUAUCUCACCAUUUGAUUUGAAUACUGGCUUCUUUGGUGAGAUUACUCUUAAAAUCUUUUCAAUUGUUCAAAGAAAUUGAAAAAAUUGAAUUACUAAAGUUAUUUACUAAUGCAAUCUGUUAUUAUAGUAAUUCUCCUAAAUAAGGCAAUGUCAAAUCAUGAAUCCAACCUUUAAAACAAGCAUGCUGCAUUUCAUGCUGAUUAGAUGGCCAGUAUGAGUAUGCCUAGGGGCGUAAAACUGCCAGGCAGGUGAUGUACACUGGGCCCAGCCUGGACUGUAAUCCUUAGCCCCUGCCUGGCUUUGAUCCAGUCUAGCUUAGUAAAAAACUCAGGAGACAAGGAAUCCAACAUGGUUCAUUUAAUUUAUUUUUAUUGUGGGAUUGAAUAAUUUCUUGGAGUUUUUCCCAAAGGUUUUCUGGGGCUUCUUUUUGACAUUUUAUUCCACAGGAGUUUCCAGUUACCAUAUUUAUUGAUCUCAUUGUUUUUCAGGUCAGUACAAACAUAUUACGCAAGUAUAGUGGACCAAUUGAUAUCUGGUUGUCCAUCUUAUCUUCCAUGUGUUACCCAAGUGAAAAUAUGCAUUGCUUGCUUAACAAGAAUCCUCAUAAAAGCUUUCUAGCAAUGGCCCAACACCAGAGCCAAUGGGUCUGGUAUGUAUGCUUCCCCACAUGCCCGAGUUAACUUUAUGAUGGGAUGGAAUCCUUGUACAAUUCCUUAUCUGUCAAUGUUAGUAAAUUUAUGAUAGGUUUCACUACUUCAACGAGAUGGAUCUAAACAUAAAUGGCUGACUCGGUUAUUUUUCUUCCUUUGGUAGUGAUAUCGAUUUUAAUUGUGCAGGUUCCGGAAGCUUUUUGUAUCAUUUUCCAGUUAUACUUACGUGAACAGACUUAGAAAGAUCAAGUAGGUGUGUGAGCCUUCACAAUCAAUAAUGAAUAGUUACUACUAAUCUCCUGUUUUUGUCAACUGAUGAUCCACCCACUAGUUUCAUCACUUCGACUUAGGAAUUGGCAUAUUUGCCUUUCACCUUUCUUAACUUAUUAUUUGUUUGGCAACUUGACUGGCAGAGCUCACAAUCCGGUGUUAUGAGAGCUUGAAGACCACAAUUUGUCCACCUACUGGUCACAUCAAAUAACUUGCAAGCAAACAAGGUAUUACACAUAUCCUGACUGCAUUGUAUUUUUGCAGCAAAAAGCUUUUUCCCACUGGAUUGCUCCUUGCUUGGGAUUUGUAUAGGGAUCAAGUGCAGGACAAUACAAGGCGUUGAAGAGAGCAAUUAGUUCUUGUUGAUGUGAUUGAAUUUUAUGUUUGAACAGUUGUAUUUUAUAAACAUUUUUAUUCAAAAUAAGGAUCAUCUUGAUAUUUUUAAAAAAUAAUAAUUAAAAAAAAAUUGCUUCCUUCUUUGAUCCAUGUUUUGAGAAUUCCAUCUACCCUUAAAAUCUAUGUUCUCUUAAUGCUUUAAUGUUUAGGAAGGGUCUUCCAAACAUGCCUUGCAUAGCUCCUAGCUCAUAGUUGAGACAUCUUCAUUUCCUUGGAUAAGAGCGAUAUUUUCAUUAGCAAUCAAAUGUGAGGAAAAACUUAUAUUUUUUUCUUUUUCCUUUUAAUAUUUAUUUAAUAAAAUAAAUCAGUAAAAUGUCUUUAUCAUCCUGAUUCAUGAAAUAAAAUAAUAAAGUGAUGGGCAAUCCUUAUUUAUAAAAUAAAAUAACCUACUAAGUCCUUUCAAAAUUAUUAAAAAAAAAAUAAUAAUAAUGACACUAGUAAAAUAAAUUGAACGAAAUAAAAAGGUUGGUGGGGUGAGAGAGGCUCGAACUCUCGACCUCAGGAUUACUCUUAGCUAUGAGACCUACGCGCUAGCCAACUGCGCCACCACCCCAUCCGGUAAGCUUGACACAAAUAUUUUCCUUGUUUACAUAAUAUCAAUCAUACUUUUCCUAUUUGUUCCAUAUUUUUUAAUUAUUUUUUUUCUUGCAUGUUCAAACAUAAAAUGUGUGUAAUUUUUAUGUAAUAGUUCAUUUUGAAACUAAUUUAAGUGUUGAGUCUCAUCAAAUUAUAUUACUAACAAUCAAUAAAGUUCAAUAAUGAGAUAAUUUAGUUUUACUAGCAUUUUAUAUAACAUAUUAAUUAUUCUAUUCCUUUUAAAUUGAAAGAGUCUUGGUAAUAGGGUCUUUUUGUCUUUUGGGGAGAUGAAACAAUCGAUUUUCUAAUACUAAAUUAUACACAUUACUUGUAAUGCACCUCGAGGCAACAAAAAGAAAGAGCAGUUGAGAAAAUUUUAUGAAGUUACAUUUGGAUGACAUUUUAAAGAGCAUUAUAAUACUUUGGAGAUUAUGUUCAAAUUAUAUACCAAAAUAUAAAAAAAAUAUAUUAAAUUUUAUAUAAUUAAAAUAAAAUAUUUGAAAAAAAAAUGGUAAUAUGAUAUAUUUCUAAUUAUACCAAAAUGGAAAAGAGAUUACAAAGGAAACAAGUUUAAAAUGGUAAAUUAUAAAAUUACUUAGGAAAUUAGAAAUUAAGUUGCUAAGUAAACAAAUGGUCAUAAUUAUUCACUUAUUUGUAAAUGGUGCAUAUUUAGAUUCAAUUGUUGGGAUUAAUUCAUUAUUUUUUAGAACUUCAAUUUGGGGAAUUUAAGAACAUCAAAUUUUAAAAUUUUAUUUUCAAAGCUAAUGGAAAAUGUUGAUUUUAAUGAAUUAAUAUUUAUACAAGUGAGAGUUAUGUUUUAGAGGUUUAUUAAAAUAAAUUUUAUUUCCAUUGAUGAGAGUUAAUUAAAUUUGGUUUUUUUAUAUUUUAAGGGCCUGAAUUUAAGAAAAUUGUAGAAAAAUUUAUUUGUGAUCCAAAUUAUAUGAUUUUAGUGUUUUUAUUUUCCAAACAAGGAAUAUUGAGAAAUUUACAAAAUUUAAUUAGUUGAUAAUGGGAUGAAUUAUGAUACGAAAAUAAUGGAUUUAUAAAUCUAUGGUUUUAUUUUUGACCCAUUUUUUUUAAUCCAAAUUAAUUGAUUCUUAUUGGUUUGGUUUUUGAAUAAGGAUUCUUCAAAAAAAUUUUAAAUAUAAGUUUGCUUAAUAAAUAAGAGGGAAAAGGAUAAAAAAUUGAACGUGUAUUAGUUAUAUUCAAUUUUUCUUGAAGUCAACUUUCCUAAUUCAUGGAACAUUUAUUUUUACUCCAAUUAUAUGAAAUAUGAUUAUUUGAUUUAUUUUAAGUCAACAAUUAAUAAAAAAAAAUAGGAAUUUUGUUUUAUUAAUAAAUAAAUCGUGUUCGAGAUUAACUAUCUAAUCUAUUUAUUUAUUCUUGUCAAAUUGUUCUACUUAGUUAAUGAUAUCAAAAUGAGUCAUUUAUGAUCUAACCCAUUUAUGUCCUAUUUAACCCAUAUAAAGUUAUUAAUUUUAUAUAUUUAAAAAUUAGAAAACAUUUAAAAUACUUUUUCUAAUUAUAAAUAUCAUAUAGUUAAAAAAAAUUAAAUAAUUAACUAAAUAAAAUUUUAUAUAUUUCAUUAUAUAAAUUAAAAAGAUUUUAUAAUUAAAAAUUAAAUAAAACUAUAAAUAAGUGUAAAAUUAAAAUUUUAAUUUAGUUCUAUAUUAUAAACAUAUUAUAAUUAAAUUAAUUAAGAUUUUAAAAAAAUUAAAAAUUUAAAGUUAAAGUAACUAUUUUUUUUUUUUAGAAAAAUUUUAAAUAGGUUAAAUGUAGGCAACGAAUUAUAAUCAUGUCAAUACUUAACCCAUUUAUUAAAUGGGUUAGCUGGUAGUAUCACGCUACCCAUUUCACUAUUUACAUGGAAAGAUUCGUUACAAAGCCCGUUAAGCUGUGGACAUUUCAAAUAGCAAAAUUGAGUAAAUAUAAAAGCAUUAGCAUUUAAAAAACAUAGAAACUUGAGCCAAAGAGUUUUAAAUUUAACUACGUUCACAUGGAGAUAUCGAGAGUUUUGGACCAAAAUAUUGCUAUUUUGAAAUUUUUUUUCUCAUAAAUAGAUUGGAUUUGAAAAUUGUUAGAAAAAUUGAGCUAAUCUAACUUAAGCUAAUCACCCUACAAGGGAGGUUAAUAGGGUAAUGGUCUCUUUUUGUAAAUUUAAAUUAUGUGACUACAAGAAACAAUUAUAUGCAAAUAUAUAAUCAAAUAAUAUAAAAAUAAUUGCAUAUAAAGUAAAAAAGUAAGGAAGAGAUAAUGAAAACAUAGAAUUUUUAUAGUUGUUUAUGAUUACUACUAAAAAAGUGCUCUUUUAUAGCUUGUUAUAAACUCUUUUAAACACUUUUGAGUAACAUUUAUUACCUUUUAACUCAAUUGACACAUUAAGGACCAUUGCAAGGGUUACUAAUCAGUUUUUGGCAAGUUUUGAUAGCUUUUUGAUCAUUAAAACAAGCCAAGAAUGAGGGAGAACUUUGUGUAGUCCAUGGCAAAGGAAAAGAUUCGGAAUCUCCCCUUUUGUAUAAGGAACUUGAACCUAGUGACCUAAGACUCCAAGAAACCUUUUUUUUGUAAUUAAUCUCAGUUACUAUUUUUGGUUAACUUAAAACUAAACUUUUUUCAACCAAAAUUAUGUUUUCUUUUAAAGCUAACUCAUAAAGAAAAAGCACCAAUUCAAUUCUUUAAAUAAUAUCAUGUGUGAUAUGAAAACCCACUCCUAUGGACGAUCCUAGAACCACUAUGCUAUGCUAGCUAUGCUACCCUAGUAUAUGGUGAAUUAGGUUUAUAAAUUUUGUUGAUAACUCCCGUCUGACGACUGAAUCAAAUAGGUACACCAAUUGGGGACGAAUCAGUUCAACACAACGUAACUUACAUCCACUCUCCUCUAACUUCAAUUCCAAGCUUGAGGUUCCACUAAUUCAAAACUUCCAAACCAACCCUUCAAACAAUACAAUUGGAUUAUGGUUCUAAUCCACCCUCUUGGACUUUAGGCUCCAAACACUCUUUACAGUCUUCAACAUAUACCUCACUCUUGAAUAACUCCUUAAGUGAUACCCCCCACUUAAGAAUCCCUAAGUGAUACCUCACACUUAGAUUCUUCAUCAUAAAGGUUUAUAAAUGAAGAUAAGAAACAAUUUCAUAAUAUCGUAAUACAAAACUUUAGGCUUAAAUAUAUAAGAAAAAUUAGGAUUGAAAGGUGCACUAAUGAUAUGCAAGUUUAAGAACAAUGGUGCACUAAAAAACACUCUCCUAAGGCUCAAAUAUAUUCAAGAAAUGUUUAGGAAGGUUAAGCUCUCAAAAUAAUGAAGAUUUGAGCAUUUUUAUAGAGGAAAAAAAAAAUCAAACCAUCCGUUGAGGGUUUGUUCGAUCGAGAUCCGAUUUGACCGGUUCACUAGCCGUUAGCAUUCAAUGUGUGGUAGAUGACUGUUGGACCUCGGCCGCCCCUUGAUCGCCUCGACUGCUUGAACAAGCAUUUUGGAAAAAAGAGAAGGUUUUUGCACCCCUCGAUCGGUUGAGUUAAACAGAUCGAUCGAUUCCUUAUCUGGUUCAACCGGUUGAGCCAUUUUUGGCUCAACAACCAUAUUUUUCAACUUAAAAACCUUUUAAACAAGCUUGGAAAGCAUUUGACACAAGGUUUUAGUUGAAAACAUGAAAUCAUCCAAUUUUAAAAGAUUUAAAACAAAAUAACUCUUGGAUGAUUUUGGUGCAUAAAUAAAAAAUGUAAUACAUGAAAAACCUAGUGCACCAACCUUAUAAAGAGAUCCUAUGAAGCUUAGGUCUUAAAAAACAUUUCUCUUUGAGGUAUUAUUCUUCUUAUUGAUUUUCCUUUAACUUGAUUUUGUCUUUGUGAUUACCACUUUGGAAAUCUUCUUUCCUAAUCACAUUUGAAAUAUAAUCAUUAGUUCCAAACCUUGUUUUAUUAUCAUCAAAACUGAGAUUAACCAAACCUUGGUUUCACAAAAAUAAUAUCCAAUUUAACACUUUUUACCCACGUGGACACCCUUUUACUCUUGUUCCCUCAUUUUUUAAACCUUUUGUUUCCCUCUUGUUUCUCCAUUUCAGGUCCUAUUUUUUAAUUUUUUUGCAAUCCUCACUCUCAACCCCAUACGUAGGACACUUCUCUAUUUUAGGUCCCAUUUUCUUUUUAUAGCCUUUUGGUCCUAUUUUCUUUUUUGCAAUCCUUACGUCCUUUUUUUUUUGUUGUUGCAAUCCUUACCCCUAACCCAUACUCACCAGUAAUGACAAUGGUGCAGUUGGAUGUGCGGGUUUUUAAUAAAGAAAAUAUAUAAUUUAAAUGGUCAUUCUUAAUUUAACUAUUAGUGUUUAUUUAUUUAUUAUUAUUCGAAUUAUAGUAGAAUAUGGAAUUUGAACAAGAGUAGAAGUCUACUAUUAGUUUGAAUUAAAGUAUGAAAUAAAGUUUGAAUUAUAAUAGAACUCAAUUGUAUUUGUCUAUAAAUAUUCAUAAUCAUUGAUGAGAAUGAUAUACCAUAUUUUUGUCAUCUAUUAUUCCUCUUUAUGGUAUCAGAGCUUCAUUUUUUUUUAGGCCUAUCUCUUCUUCUUCUCUCUUUCCCAACCACAUCAUGGUUGGAAAUGUUUAAAUUGCCAUAUUGAAUGCCCAAAGAACCUAAUAAACCUUUCACCCUUAUUCAUAUCUCCAAUCAAAACACCAUCAAACUUAUCUCCACCAAUUAUCUUUUAUGGAAACUCUAAAUUGAAGUACUUCUCACUGGUUAUGAUCUUUAAAAAUUUAUUGAUGGAUCUCAUCCAUGGUCCCUAUCUACUAUAAAAAAAACUAAUACAAUUGCACCUAAUUUGGAAUACCAUACUUGGACACGUUAGGAUAAAUUAAUUUUUGGUACCUUAGUUAGCUCUCCAUUUUGUCUAUUAUUCCACUCAUUCAAUAGGCCAAAACGUCACAUGAAGCUUGGACCACUCUUGCCAAUACCUAAGCACAUCCUUCUUGAGGCCACAUUAAGCCGAUUAAGGAACAACUCAAGCAUGUUACCAAAGGUUCUCAGACGAUCACCGAACACAUGUAAUUUAUAAAGACACGUGUUGAUGAACUUGCUCUUCUAGGAAAACCCAUGGAUGACGAAGAUGAAGGGAAAAACCCGGAUAUCUCCAUUUCCUAAGUCCGGAUCAGGUUAGGAACAUGCAUAACUAUCCGAGGCUUUUUCUAAAUCCUAUACACAAUGGAAAAAUAACAUUUUUAUACUUUAAAAGGAUUCAAAAAGUGCUAAUGAAAACCAUACCUCAUAUUUGGAUACUCUCGAAUCAAAUCCAUAUGGUGAAUAUGAAGAUCGAAAUCGCAAAAGUCUUGUAAACCCGAAGUCUUUCGCCCGAUGACUCAAACCUUGAUCUUGGCAUACUUCCGGUGGUAAGGAAGAGAGGGUGGAUGCUAUGGCUGUCAAUCUCUUUGGAUGAUGGAAGACAAGAGUUAUGGAAACCGUAACCCCUAGAGGGUAUUUAUAGGGUUCCUAAAUGGGCUUAUGUGAUUUGAGCCCACAUGGGCUUGGGUCACUUAAUCUAGCUCAAAAUGAGUUCUAAUUGAUUAAUUAACCCAAUAGACCCUACUAAUUAAUCAAUUAGCCCAAUCUAAAGACCUUGUUUACUUACCCCUAUGUAACCUUGCGUAAUUACCAAAACGCCUUUGUGCACAAAAGUGAACCUAAAGCCAAUCCGAUUCUUAUAACCCAUGCUAACAAGGUAUAUGAGCUCAAAGUGGAGACUACUAGGACCCAUGGGAAUAUUGACUCCCUUAGAAUCCAAUUUUAAAGUUGAUUCAACAUCCCACUACAAAGAAUCAAUCAAACUUCAGUAUCCUAUGUAAAUAACAACGAGACACUAAGUGCUUAGGUCCGUGACCUGCUAUCCAUUGUGUUCAGUCUCCCCAUGAAUUGGUGUCUGUAGUCUACCAAGGUGAAAGCUAUCAGUCUUUCAAGACUACCUCUACCAUCCUUGAGUUACAAAUCCUCCUAUUUUGUGUUUAAUUGAUAUAUCUUAGGUCUCAAAAGAGCUUCUUAUGUCAAGUUCCACUUAAGGAACUACUAUGACAUAGUUUUCAUGAACACACCUCCUUAAGAUCACCCAAGGGGACACACUGUCUCAAUCCCAAGAGAUAUCAUGAUGCCUCUAUUGAAAAUACCUAUUGCUACUGACUUCCAUCAUUGAUGACUCAAUCCAUAGGGAAUAUAUGAUCAACUUACGAUUUCACUCGUAGGUCAAAGUCAUUGCUAGCUUUAGCACAAACUCAAUAUUCUCUCAAUGUUGAGAGACAACACAAUGAAGCAGUAUGUAACCAUACACACUAGUGCACUCACCAUGGGAAACCCAUCCCGAUAGCCAAGACCAACCAUUCCUCUAAUUAGGAGGUGGUGCACUACAACCUCUAAUGGGUUGCCUAGACCCAUGAACCAAUUGUGAACAAGUCAUUUAUUUGCAAGGAACCCAUGACCUAGAUCUUCUAUGUAACUGCUAAUGUACUACGUCACGUAUAAUGCAAAAGAUGUAGGCAACAAUGCUUAUAAAGUAUAAUAUAUGGAAUGAGGAUAGAUACAAGUGAAAUUGGAACAUCAUUAAAUAAAUAAUGAAUUCUAAUUUUAUUACAUCAUGUCAUGCUUUUAAGGGCUUUAUCCCAACAUUUUCCCACCAACUCUCAAAGCAUCAUGCCUAUAAAGCAUGUUAGAUACUCAUCUGGAACCUAUGUUAUCCCUAUGACCAACAAAGACUCUCCUUGUCAAUGUCUUGGUGAAGGGAUCUACCAGGUUCUCCACAGAAGGUAUCUUAUUAACCAUCAUGUCGCCCUUUAAAAUAUCUCAACACUUUGGAGCACAAGCACAUAAUACCUUGUUCUCCUAAGAUGCUUGAGUAGAUGCUUGACAGUUGUCCAAUAUUUUGGACUUGGAUUAAACUGAUAGCUACUCACCAUACCCACUUCAAAGCAAAUAUCUGGCCUCGUACAUAACAUCACAUACAAAUGACUACCCAAUAUAAAGGCAUAGGGUACUGACUACAUGCGCUCUUUCUCCUCAGGUGUUUUAGGAUAUUGAUCCCGAGAAAGAAGAAUUCCAUGCCUAAAAGGUAACAAACCUUUCUUGCAAUCCUACAUCACAUACUUGACCAAAAGCUUAUCUAUGUAGGUAGCUUGAGAUGACACAAGUUUCCUAUUCUUGUGAUCCCUAAGGACCUUAAUCCUAAGAAUAUAUUGCACUUUUCCUAAAUCUUUCAUCUAGAAUUGAGUAGACAACUAGAUCUUAAUCGAUGAUAAUAACCUUAAAUCAUUAUUAAUGAGUAGAAUGUCAUUAACAUACAAGAUCAUAAAAACCACCAUGCUUCCCUGCAUCUUCUUGUACACACAAGGCCCUUUUCUAUGAAAAUAUCUUAUUACAUCAUAUAGAUGCUAAUAUCAAGAUAAUCAUUUAAGAACACUAUCUUGACUUCCUAUUGAACUAUCUCAUAAACAAGAUACACUGUAAUGGGUAGGAGUACUCUGAUGGAUCUGACUAUGGGCACUAGUGAAAAGGUUUCCUAUAUUUGAAAUAAUGUCUCGAACUAUAACCUUUACCUACAACCUAGCCACAUAAAAAUAAAUUUUUCCAUAUACUCCUUUGUUCCUUUUGUAGACCAACUUACAUCUAUGGGUUUUAUCCAUUUAGGUGCUUCUGUAGGAACCCAGACUACAUUAGAAUCACAAGGAUUCUAACUCUGCCUCCAUAUCUUUUUGCCAAAAAUGUGCAUCCACAUCACUCAUUGCUUUAUCUUAAUCUAUGGGAUCGAUCUCAUGUUCCUUUAGAAUGGCAUCGAAAGACUUUCCCAAAUACAUGAAUUAGUCUGGUUGUUUAACAACCCUUCUACUAUGACAAGGCGUCGAUGUAUGAGAAAUGUGAAAGGUUGGUACUAGAUCUGUAGUAUGUUGUGUAUAGUGGGACUAUCUUCUAGUAUUCUCCAAUCUAUAUCAUUUUUUGGUUUAUUACAUAUCAUAUAGUCUUCAUAAGAAAUCUGGUAUUUAUAACAACAAACACCUUUUGAUAAUCCUGACUAUAAAGUAAUAAUCCCUGAAUUCUCUUGGAUAUCUUAUAAAGUGAUAUACCUCUUUAGAAAAAAAUGUAUUAUACAUCCUUUAAGAUUUAUCCCUAAAGAAUAUGGGAAGUAAUGAGAAAUCAAUUAUCAAUCUCACUGUCUUUUAUAGUUUAAUAUCUUCUUGUCAUUACUCCAUUUUGCAGUGGAGUCUUUGUGCACACAACUAAGAUAUCAUCUCAUGCUCCAUAUAGAAAGGAUCGAAUCUACUAGACACAUUACCUCGAUCUAAUGGAAGUGUCUUCAUAUGUUUACCCAAUAGGUUAUUUGAUUCCACCUUAAAUUCAAUGAAUUUAUCAAAGGCAUCAAAUUUCCUAUAUAUAUAUAUAUAUAUCCAAAACUAGAGUAUUUAUCAAUAAAAUGAUCAAAUACCCAUACUUUCCAUAUAUAACAAAAGAAAAAAAGGUUCAUAUAUGAGAGUAUGCACUAACUCCAAACAUUCCUUGGUUCCAAGUCCUUAAAAAAUAAAGGGGCCUCUUGGUCAUUUUACCAUCUAUAUAGGAUUCAUAGACUAAAAGAUCUUCUGGAUUAAGAAGGUCUAGACUUAAUUAGUCUUUGGAUCCUAUAUAGAUUAAUAUGACCUAGGCAUUAGAAGCCAAAUGUUUGAUUAGUGCUAGGUUCUUUCUUUUAGUGAGAUCUAACUAUUCUCAUUACAUGGAAAAAUGAUAAUAGAGUCUCACAUAAAAAAGGUAAUACUUCCCACUAGCUUGCACAAUUAACCUUGCAACUGAAGUUAAGGUAAAUAUAAUCCUAUCAUGUAACCUUCUCACUUGUUGAAAACCCUGUAAAGAACUAUAGAUAGUGGGGCUAGAAUCUAUCUACCACAAUUGGUGAAAUCCACCACUAUUUAUUUAAUAAUGAGAAUAUGAUGUGUACUUGCCUAUCCUUAGGCAUUAUGAGCAUUCAUUUUCUAGUAUCCUAAAAGGUCACAAAGGAAUCAAUGCACAUGAGUUUGUCAUCUCAUUCCUUUCUUGAACUUCCCUUAUUUGGUGUUUUUUUUAAUUUUUCUUGGUAGAAAAGCCUGAAGAACCUUGACUUCCAUAUGUACACCCUUUUACUCUUUAAGAAUCUUCUUACCCAUCCCAAAAGAAUUUGGUAAGAUCUCUAAGAUAACUUGAAUCCUGGUGUUCAUAAUAGUCUUAAGGGUAACUUGUCUAGUUGACUUGUUCUUAUCACCAAAUAACCCUUGCAACUUUAAAGAGAAUAUCAUAGACUAUGACAAUAGACAUGUGUUGCUUUUGAAACACAUUAUCUAAAGACGCAAGUAUGAUAGACUUAGUCUUUUGAUUUGUCUUAUGCCACCUUUGAUAUGUUUCUCUUACUUUAUGAUAUGUUUGUUCAAAAGAAAUAACAAACCCUACCAAAAUCAACUUCUAUGCAAUUAAUAUUAUAUCCAGAUUAUUUUCAAAAUAUAAUUAGGUCCAAUUUAAACAAAAGAUAAUAGGUGAUAGGUUAAAGACAUGAUAUCUGUAAUAAAUAUAAUAAUUCCAUGCAUUAAUAAAAAGAAACUGAGCAUUCAAGGUAAGUUGGUAAUACAUUUAGCAAAAAUGUAGUGCUCUCAAACUGCAUAUAUUCAUGCAAGGUAUCUUAGUACCAUAAGAAUCAUACCUACUUUAGGCAGGUCAUGACUCUUAUUACUAGGGAGAAAGCCUCUCUAAUUAAUCAACCUACCUUAAACCUCUAAAGGUUAUCAUAAGGCAUUGAUCAACAUACCUUUAUAUUUAGCCCUUAGAACAUGCAAGUGGGACCACUUUAGGUGAUUCUACCACUUCAUGUCUAAGUUAAGUGUGUAACCAAGAUCCUUGACAUCAAUGUUACCAAGUGAAGAGUUCCAUCUUUAGGAUUGGCCACUCCCACUACAAACAUAUAUAGCCUUGUCCAUAAAGGAUAGUCCAUAUCCCUUGAUUCCUUAGGCCACCCCAUCUUUAGGAUGGUGAUGGGCCCAAAAUCAAGAUGGGCUCGGUCUUGGAGGAUAUGGGCUUGCCUAUGACCCAUUCCCACUUAAUAUUUUCGAAGAGAGACUUUAAGAUAAUUUUGGUAACUAUCUUAAAAUAGAUUAUCUAUCAUGAGAAUUUCCAAAACUUUUAUUUAUUACUUGAAUUGGGACUCCUGUACCAAAUAGAGAUAUCUUUCAUAUUCCUUAUCCUUGAACUUUCGUUUUCAAAUUAGAUGGUUUCCUCAUUCUCUCAUGGAGGGAGAGCCUGGAGAACCAAUUUAGGUGUCAUUCUCCUUCUUUCUAGGGGAGAGAGCUUGGAGAACCACCUAACCCAAAUAAAGGAAAGUCCCAAAAGGAAUUUGAAAUUCCAAAUGACAACAACCAAUUUCUUAAAUAAAUAAUGGUGGAAAUAAAACUCAUGAAAUUUUUUUCUUUUAAGAAAAUCCAAAAUUACCAUUUUAAUUGAAACAAUAUCUUGGUAAGCUAUCUUAAUAAUGAAUUAUCUAUCAUAUAUUUUCCAAAAAUAAUUUAUUUCUUUAAAUUAGAAUCUUGUGCUAAAUAUGAAAGAUUUUAUUUCGUAAAGAUUUGGAAAAAUAAAACUUUUUCCUUAAAAUAAAAAGAUUCUUAGAGAUCUAAAAUAUAAAAAGAUUUAUUUAAAAAAAAAAAAUCUCUAAGAGUUUAAUUUUGAAAAGGAAGUAAGUUCCUUAUUUUUUUUCCAACUUGUCUUUACCUAAAAUAAAAAUGUCAUAACUCCUAGCACAUUCCAAUUUAAUAAAUUAUCUAAAAAAGAGAAAAAAAAAUGAAAAUUCAUUAACUUAAGAGUACCAAAAUAUAUUCUAUGUCAAAAAUAAAAAAGUAUAAAAGACAUGAAAGGAAAUUAAAUAAAUAAUUCUCAUGGCCUUAGGGAUCCUAUUGCAAAGGUAACUAAAACUUGGAUAAACUUCAAAUUACCAAAAUAGCCCUACAACCAAAGAUAGGGUUAGUGAAAAAAGAAAAACCCAAUGGGCCCAAUUGCCACAAAAAAGCCCAAAAAGAGGCCCAAAAAUUGAGCCCAAACAAUAAAAAACAAAUUGGCUCGAGCUCAAUCCAAUAAUUGCAUGCCCUUUGCGCAACCUUGAUUCAAUCAACCAUAUCUCUCUUGUUUCAACUCUGAAUUGCAAUCCGUUUGAAGCACUGGAUUCUUAACUUCUUGAGCUUCAAAACCAUAUGUGGUUUCUCUCAAAAAGCUCAUGGGAGGUAGCCCCUAUUUUGAGUUGAAGUCAGCAUUAUUGUACUGCCAUGCUCUUUGCACAGCCUUGCUUUAAUCAGUCAUAUCUCCCUCGUUUCAACUCCGAAUUGUGAUAUGUUUGAAGUCUUGGAUUUUUUACUUCCUAAGAUUAAAAAAUUAUGUGGUUUGCCCCAAAAAUCUCAUAGGAGGGAGUCCCGAUUUUGAGUUGAAGUCAGCGUCACUGUGCUGCCAUGCUAUUUGCGCAGCCUAGCUUCAAUAAGCUAUAACUCCCUCAUUUCAACUCCGAAUUAUGAUCCGUUUGAAGCGUUGGAUUCAUGACUUCCUAAGAUUAAAAAAGAUAGGUGGCUUGAUCCAAGAAAUUCAGAAGAAGUCAUCCUGAUUUUAAGUUAAAGAUGGCAAAACUGUGCUGCCAAGGAUCUCAAGUCAAGAACUUCCAAGAUUCUUUCUUUUCCCUUAAAUCACCAUAUAAACUCAUGAAAGAAACUUUAAGAAGCCUUAUUUUCUCUUUUCCAGCAAGGGAAUGUACACAAACACUUUGUGAUGCUUCAGAUUGCUUCCAUACUCUCCAUAGGUUACAAAGAAUGAUAAAAAAAAAUGGUUUUUUUUUUACAACAAAUCCAAAGAUUUGGAGUUUACAUAUCAUUCUAAGAUAAAAAAUGGUUUUUUACAAAAGAACAAAAAUCCUAUACCUCUUAUGAGGCUUACAACCCAUCUAGGAAAAGUAAAAACCAAUCCAAGUAAUUAUUAUAUCCCUAAUAAAAAGCAAUCACAAUUAUAACCAUCAUAUUAUAACAAGAUCAUAAUAAAGAAAACUCAUUAAUUAUCCCUAAGGCCAUGGGAUAAACAAAAACCUUGCAAAAACAAGUUAGCACACCCUAGAAUGGUUCUAGCACGAUUACUAACCUAUGGCUCUGAUACCAGUUAAGAGAAAAACUUGGAUCUCUCCGUUUCCCAAGUUCGGAUCAUGUUAGGAACAUGAAUAACUAUCCUAGGCUUUUUCUAAAUCCUAUACACAAUGGAAAAAUAACAUUUUUAUAAUUUAAAAGGAUUCAAAAAGUUCUAAUGAAAACCAUACCUCAGAUUCAGAUGUUCCCAAAUCAAAUCCACAUGGUGAAGAUGAAAAUCGAAAUCCCAGAAAUCUGAAACCUAAGUCUUCCACCCAAUGACUCGAACCUUGAUCUUGACACACUUUUGGUGGGGAGGAAAAGAGGGUGGAUGCUAUGACUUUCAAUCUCUUUGGAUGGUGGAAGACAAAAUCUAUGGAAACCCUAACCCCUAAGGGGUAUUUAUAGGGUUCCUAAGUGGGCUUAAGUGACUUGAGCCCACAUGGGCUUGGGUCACUUAAUCUAGCUCAAAAUGGGUUCUAAUUGAUUAAUUAACCUAAUAGGGCCUACUAAUUAAUCAAUUAGCUUAAUCCAAAGACCUUAUUCAUUUACCCUUAUGCAACCUUGCAUAAUUACCAAAACGCCCUUAUACAUAAAAUUGAACCUAGAGCCAAUCCGACCCUCAUAACCCAUGCCAACAAGGUAUAUGAGCUUAGAGUGGGGACCAUUGGAACCCAUAGGAAUAUUAGGUCCCUUAGAAUCCGAUUCUAAAGUCGAUUCAACAUUCCACUACAGAGAAUCAACUAAACUCCAAUAUCCUAUGUAAAUAACAACGAGACACUAAGUGCUUAGGUCCGUGACCUACUAUCCAUUGUGUUCAGUCUCCUUAUGAUUUGAUGUCCGUAGUCUACCAAGGUGAAAGCUAUCAGUCUUUCAAGACUACCUCUACCAUCCUUAAGUUACAAAUCCUCCUAUUGUGUGUUUAAUUGACAUAUUUUAGCUAUCAAAAGAGCUCAUGUCAAGUUCCACUUAAGGAACUACUAUGGCCAUAGUUUCCAUGAACACACCUCCUUAGGAUCACCCAAGGGGACACACUGUCUCAAUUUCAAGAUAUAUCAUGGUUUCUCUAUUGAGAAUACCUAUUGCUAUUGGCUUCCAUCAACGAUGACCCAAUCCAUAGGGAAUAUAUGAUCAACUUACGAUCUCACUAUAGACCCUCCAUUUUGUCCCCUUGGCACAUACCUUGAAUAAGUACUCUUUCAAUACUUUAUAGCAGUUCUUGGUAGCCUAUUGUUACUCACAUAUCUUACCCCUUGGAGUCAUUCUGGAUACUAGAUACACAUUUAUGACAAUUUUAUCUUAUUCAUGUAUUUAAUUUAAUAAUUUAGUAAAAUGCUCCUAUUUAAUCUAAAUAAUUUUAUAGAAUUCUUUUAUUUAGUUUAAUAUUUUUUUUGAAAAACUUUAUUUUAAUUUAAUACUUUUGAAAGAUACUUUUAUUUAAACUAAUACUUUUGAAAAAUGCUUCUAUUCAAUAAUUGUUGAAAAAUUCUCUUAUUUAAUUUAACAAUUUCAUAAAAUAUAUUUUUUUAAAAUUAAUAUUCUUCUGAAAUGAUUUUAUUGAGUCUAAUAAUUUUGUAAAUUAUACACAUAGGCAUACUGAUUUUUUUAUUUUUAUCUACCAAGUUUAUUUAUUUAAAAAUAAAAUAAAAAUUCAAGCGCUUUGAAAAGGAAAAUUUGGGAAAGUAUUAAGAAGUUUGGGAAUGAUGAAAAUGGGGGGUUUUUCAAAGGGUUUCUGCAUGGGGAAAAGAUAGGGGAUUUUGGAAAAAAUAGUGGAUGGGCUAUUUUUAGAGAGGGAAGUAUUCAGAAGAUGAGGAGCGGAGAGACAAGUUCUGGUAGGAAUAGCUGUAGGAAGGGGGAGUGGGGUUUGGAAGGAAGGAAAAGCUAUGGAAGAGUCUGGAGGAGUGAAGACCGAAAAAUAGAGGGAGGCUUUUUCUGAGUUUGGAGAACCUACCGAAUCAAGUGCUUGAAGCCAAGAAAUCCUUGCUCAAAGGGAGUCGUUUAGGUAGAGUCACUGCAUGCUCUGUUAUCCCAUUUUUGCAUCAUUUUGCUCUAUUUCUUGCUGAUAUUUGGGUUCGUUUCUAAUGAUUGAGUGUGAACAUUAGAAAACAUGCAUAUAUGAGAUCAUUUGCAAACACUUUCUGUUUGGUUUCUUUGUUUCUAUAGAAUCUCAAAUCACGUUUUGUUUUUUUUUUUUUUUUGUUUUGCUCUGUUUUGGUUUUCUCUAUAAAACGGCUACGACCUUGUUUUUUUAUUUAUAUUUAAAGUUCAUUUCGGUUACUCCCACCUGUUAGCAAGCUCACUAAUGACCCAUGAAAGAGAGCUUCAUUUGGUGUUUUUUGUACUUUUUUCUAUAUUUUAUCUUCAUGUUUUCUUUCCCAUUCUUUUGUCUGCCCCUGUUAUUGGUAAUUUUUAUGGCGUGCAUGAGUAUGUGCCUCAAUAGUUGAUGAUGUCAGAGUGACUUCUGGGUGGAUUUGGGAUUCCGAUUUGUAAUCUGAGACUGCAUAUUUUGAAAUAAGGAGAUUGUCGAAUGCUCUCCCUCAGUUCAAUGGUGAAAUUCGUGAUCCUGUAUCAAAUAAAAGGGUGGAAAUAUAGUUGAUGCUAUAGAUGGAGGAUAUGAGAUGGCCAUCUCUCCUCCCCUGCUAGCUAAAUCUAAGAUUGAUUCAUUUCUUUGUGGGAUUGAGUUCCACAAGGUGGUGAAAGAAAAUAAGGCACUUGUUCGUGAUGACUAGAAAGAGAACAUUCUGCCCAAUAUGGAUUCAGCUUCUUUAAAGCUCCAUACAAGCUCCUUUGGUGUUGAACAAUACUUGGCUGUAGAGAUAUAUUUUGCCCUUAUCUAUCUCCACUCCAACAAGCCUUCAAUCAUCCAUGAAAAUUGGAAACCCACCAAGGUGUCCUUUGCGAACUGGUGGCUUGGGGGUUGAUGCAUGCUUCUAGUUUUUUAUCAUAAGAGUGUUCCGAAGUAAGGUUUUCUUAGCAUGACUGCUUGUGAGUUCAUUCUAGGGCAUAAGAAAUUAGAAAGAGGAUUUAAGAGAAUGAAACUCAGUUUUGGACAAGAAGAAAAACAUGAAAUGAGCUUACCACAGUUUUCAGAUGGAUGCGGCUAAUGUGUACAGUCUCACUUAUGCUGAUCAUAAUUGAUAUGAGUGAGUUUGGUGAGGAUUCUGGUGGCUUCCAUCACCCCAUGAAAUGAAGACCCUUUGGCUUAUGGUAAACCUUAUCGAUGUUACACAAUUUAAGGAAAUGGUUUUUGAUGUAAAGUCAAAGUCAAUUUGCACACCGAAAUGGCAAAGAACCCUUUUGUUAAAAGGGGAAUAGUAGUAGAUUUAAGUGCAUAUGAUCAAAGUAAGCACUUGAGAACCAGUGGUCAAUAUUUAUUAUUUCUUCGUAUUUUGAUAUCCUAGUUUAAUUUUUCAAAAUUUCAAUUUUCAAAUUUAAUUUACAAAACUUCCAUUUUUAAAUAAUUUUUCAAAAUCCCAAUUCUCAAAUUUAAUAUUUAAAACUUCCAUUUUCGAACAAUUCUUCAAAAUUAUAAUUUUCAAAUUUAAUUAUCAAAAAUUUUGUUUUCAAAUAAUUUUUCAAAAUUCCAAUAUUUUCAAAUUUAAUUUUCAAAGCUUCCAUUUUUGAAUAAUUCUUCAAAAUUCUAAUUUUAAAAUGAAUUUUCAAAACUUUAAUCUUUGAAUAAUUUUCCAAAAUUACAAUUUCCAAAUUUAAUUUUUAAAAAAACUUCUAUUUUUAAAAAAGUUUCAAAUUUAAUUUUUAAGAAAUUCAAUUCUCAAAUAAUUCUCCAAGAUUUCCAUUUUCAAAUAAUUUUUCAAAAUUCCAAUUCUCAAAUUUAAUUUUCAAAGCUUCCAUUUUCGAAUAAUUCUUCAAAAUUCCAAUUCUCAAAUUUAAUUUUCAAAGCUUCCAUUUUCGAAUAAUUCUUCAAAAUUCCAAUUUUAAAUUUAAUUUUCAAAAUGUUAAUCUUUAAAUAAUUUUCCAAAAUUCCAAUUUCCAAAUUUAAUUUUUUAACACUUCCAUUUUCAAACAAUUUUCAAAUUUUAUUUUUAAGAAAUUCCAUUCUCAAAUAACUCUCCAAAAUUCCAAUUUUCAAAAUUUUCAUUUUCAAAUAAUUUUUCAAAAUUCUAAUUCUCAAAUUUAAUUUUCAAAGCUUCCAUUUUCGAAUAAUUCUUCAAAAUUCUAAUUUUAAAUUUAAUUUUCAAAACUUUAAUCUUUAAAUAAUUUUCCAAAAUUCCAAUUUCUAAAUUUAUUUAUUUAUUUUUUUAAACUUCCAUUUUCAAACAAUUUUUUAAUUUAAUUUUUAAGAAAUCCCAUUCUCAAAUAAUUCUUCAAAAUUUCAAUUUUUAAACAUCCAUUUUCAAAUAAUUUUUCAAAAGUGCAAUCCCCAAAUUUAAGUUUUUUUUUUAAAAAAAAUAAAAAUUCUAUUUUCAAAAAAUUUUCCAAAAUUCCAAUUUCUCAAAUUUAAUUUUCAAAACUCCCAUUUUCACAUAAUUUUUCGAAAUUUCAAUUUUCAAAUAAUUCUCAAAACUCUAGUUUUCUUUCAAAUAAUUUUAAUUCCACUCAAAUUUUCAAAUAUUUUUAAUUCUAUAACUUUUCAUCCUUUAUUAGGGUUUUAGGUAAAAUAUAUAUAUAUAUAUAUAUAUAUAUAUAUAUAUAUAUAUAUAUAUCGUUUUUAAUAAACUUGCUACCUUUCCUUUCAAGUAAACAUUUUCACAAAUUUUCUUUGAUUUUCAAAUAAUCUUUUGUUUCUCUUGAUUUUAAAUAAGCAUGAAUAUGAUUUUCAUAAUUCCAAAAUAAUGAAAUUUGUGGGAUUAAUUCAUGCAAAAAUCAAUUGGGCUUUGAUGGGGGCCCUACAUAUGAGUUUUCUCUUCUGAUUGUCAACUGUUAUACUUAAUGAAUAUUGCCUAAUCUUUGUCUUGCUCUUUGAUAUGCAUGUGAUAUAUUUUGUAUUCAUUACUAUGCACUAACUUUAUUUCAUGAUAACGCUUUAUUACCUGUUGCCAAGGCACGCUCUCACUCUCACCUUGUUUAUUUAUUCGCUAUCAUGACUUGCUUUUGAUCUAUGAUCAUUUUGGUAUCCAUUGAUUUCCUAGUUAAUUGUCAUGUUUGCUUCACCUUAUUUAGUAAAAACCUAUUUUUAGGGGCUUAGAGGGGUGCUACGGUCUUUACCGUAUCUUUCCAAUAAGUAACCUAACCCCCAUACUCAACUUUGGUUUUCCACAGACUGUUUUUUCAAAUAAGGAGUCAUACUUAGGGUUUUCUUUCUUAUUUUGUUUUCCCUUAAAAAAAAAAUAAAACAAAAAUAAGUGGCGGCUCCAAGUCUUUUUCAAGAAAAUCAUAUUUUUUACCAAAUAAAUUAAAAACGAGUCUCGCCAAUUGAGUGGGAACGCAUUGAGCGAAAUGUGGGGUCCACACUCACUCGUAGGUCAAAGUCAUUGCUAACUUUAGCACAAACUCAAUAUUCUAUCAAGGUUGAGAGACAACACAAUGAAAUAGCUUGGUGAGGUCAUGACUACUUGAUAACCUUAAGUCAUGACUCACCGUAGGUCCUGUCCAACCUGAUAGCUAAGACCAACCAUCCCUCAAAUUAGGACGUGGUGCACUACAAUCUUUAAUGGGUUGCCUAGACCCAUGAACCAGUUUUGAACAAGUCAUCUAUUUGCAAAGAGUCCAUGACUUAAAUCUUCUGUGCAACUCCUAAUAAACCUAAGUCACGUAUAAUGCAAAAGAUGUUGGAAACAAUACUCAUAAACUAUAAUACAUAGAAUGAGGAUAGAUAAAAGUGAAACUGGAACAUCAUUAAAUAAAUAAUGAAUUCCAAUUUUAUUACAACAUGUCAUGCUUUUAAGAGCUCUAUCCUAACAGAAGACCUUGUUGAAAAGAUUCUCGGGGACUUGAUAAUGAAUACAAAUCUAUUGUUAAUGCUAUUAAAGGAUGUGAGAAUUUAAUCUCCUUUGAUGAACUUCAUGAAAAAUUGAUUAAUAAGGAGCUUUUGCUAUGUGCCAAUCAAUCCACUUCUUUAGCAUUACUUGCUUCUACAAACCCGAUACACACCCACCAUAAUUUCAAAAACAACCAAUUAGGUCCUUAUCGAUUGUAGUGGGCGUCAUCCAUUUUGUCGCCCGCUUCUGUGUCCUAAUGACCCCUCUACCACCCCUUAAGGCCAUCACCUUCCUCGUGGUCCUUAUUUGGGUAAAUGUUAGGGUUGCAGAGCAUAAGGACAUAAAACUCAACAAUGUCUUCUUUAUUAGUUAUUGCCAUUAACUCUAAAUUCAAUUUCGUCUUCUUGACUACAACAACCGUGACAACCUUGUCAUCCCCAAUAACAGUAGCCUUAACCCCAAUAACAUUGGCAACCAUAGGCAAAUCUUGCCUUUACUAUUUUUUUCUGAAAACUUUAGUUGGCUUCUUAAUAGUGAGACAUCACACCAUGUCACCAUUGACUUGAAUAAUUUGUCCAUUCAUACUCUGUAUAACGAUUCUAAUGACAUUAUGAUUAGCUAUGACUCAAGUUUUCCUAUCACCCACACCAAUUCCACUUUUCCCUCUACUAUUUUUCAUACUUUUGUUUUACAAAACAUACUUUCUCCUUAACAUGCAUAUGGAUCUUAUCUCUAUCUCUCAGUUUUUUAAAUCGAAUAAUACCUUUGUUGAAUUCUUACCCUCUUCUAUUUUGUGGAGGAUCUAUGUAGGGGGGCAAUCCUUUUGUAGGGAUGGACUAAAGAUGGUGUAUAUGAGUGUUUGGUAUCCUCUAAGUCAUCUCUUUUAGUUGCGUUUUCUAGUGUCAAGACCACUUUAUCUGAGUAGCAUCAUAGAUUAGGACAUCCUUUAUCGUCUAUACUUCAGUAUCUCGUUUCUAAUUUCAAUUUAGAAUGAUCGAGUCUAUUAUCUUUAUCUUUCAAUUGUAAUGCAUGUCAAUGCAAUAAAAGCCAUAAAUUACCCUUUUCAAUUUAUACUCUUACACAUUUUUCUCUUAUCCAAAUUAUUUUCUUUAAUGCACGGACAUUACCAAUUUAUUCCAUUGAUAAUUUUAAAUAUUAUGUUGUUUUUUAGACCACUUUACUAGAUAUAUUUAGUUUUAUUCUCUUGAACAUAAAUCUUAGGUUCAUGAUGUUUUCAUAUGAUUUCAAUCAAUUAUCGAAAAAUUCUUUAAUAAAAAAAUUGUCACACUAUAUUCUAAUAAUUUGGGGGAAUAUCAAGCACUUUCAUCCUAUUUUGCAUCUUAGGGAAUCUCACAUCUCACUUCAUCCUCACAUACUUUGGAACACAAUGGGUAUUCUGAACGUCAUCAUCAUCAUAUUAUUGAAAUCGAUUUAUCUUUUCUCUCUAAUGCCUCCAUGCCUUUGUCAUAUUGGUUUUAUGCUUUUUCCACUGUAGUCUAUCUUAUUAAUUGUAUGCCAUCUCCCACACUCCAACUUUCCUCUUCCUAUCUAAAACUUUUUCAAUCCUUACCUAAUUAUUCAAAACUUUGUGUUUUUGGGUGUUUAUGUUAUCCUUGGUUACAUCCAUAUUCUUCCCAUAAACUUGUUCCUCACUCCACUUUAUGUGUUUUUCUUGGUUACUCUCUUACUCAAAUUGUUUACUUGUGUCUUAAACCUUCUUCUAAAGUUUAUACAUUUUGUCAUAUUAAAUUUGUUGAAAACAUCUUCUCUUUUUCUUUUCUCCACUCUUAUCUUCCUUGUUCCUCGAAUGUCACUCUCUCUCACUGGUUUUAACUUGCAUAUCUGUCUAAGCCCUUGCCCCUAUCAUCUUCUCACCUGUUGACACCCUCUACACCUACAACUGAAUUACGCUCCUAUGCAGAUCUUGACUCUACCAUGCUGCUCACUCUUAUUAUUCCUAGCCUAACCUAAUUGCUACCCAUAACUUCUUUACUUCUCGACCAAACCCAAAACCCACCUACUUCUAUGCCGAACCCACAACCACUCCCAUCAUCACAUCUAAGCCCAACGCCCCCUAACCCACCCAUCUUAUAAUCAAUGCCUAGCCUAACUUAACCCUAACUUCCUCACUUCCUUCCAUCAUCUCACAUUCCACCUCCUACGCCUGUUGACCCAACUACACAUGUUAUUAUUACCCAAUCAAAGAACAAUAUAUUCACAAGCCAAUUCAUAAACUUAAUCUUAACACCCAACUUGUAACCAACACUAAUCUUGAACCCACCAUAGUCACCCAAGCCAUUAAAGAUCCUAAGUGGCAUCAUGCUAUAUUAGAAUAACAUGAUGUGCUUGUUCGGAAUGGAACAUGGGAACUUGUUCUCUCAGAUCCAAUUUAGAAUUUAGUUGGUUGUGAGUAGAUUUUUCAUAUUAAAUGUUUCCCUGAUGGUUCUAUUAAUAGGUAUAAGGCAUGCUUAGUUGCCAAAAAGUUUCAUUAACAUCCUAGAGUUGAUUGUCAUUACACGUUUAGUUUAGUUGUUAAGCCUACCACCAUUUGUCUUAUUGUCAAUAUUAUGGUUACUUAUGGUUGGUCGCUUCAUCAACUUGAUGUGAACAAUGUUUUUUUUUUUUCAGGGCUAUUUUAUUAAGGAUGCAUUUAUGGCUUAGCCGCAAGGAUUCAUUGAUCAUGAUCAUCCUCAUCAUGCCUACAAAUUAUGUCGAGCUAUCUAUGGUUUCAAGCAAGCACCAUGUGCUUGGUAUCAUGAGUUGCGUCAAUUUUUUGUUACCUUUGGUUUUGUCAACUCUCAUGUAGAUUCCUCACUUUUUGUCUUCAACACCAGUGGUGCCAUGAUAUAUUUUCUUGUUUAUGUUGAUGAUGUUAUUAUUACAUGUGACAAUAAUGGGGUGUGCAAAAAUUCAUUACACUUCUUGCUCAAUGCUUAUCUAUCAAGGAUCUUGGUUUUCUCACUUAUUUUCCUAGAGUUGAAGUUACUUCCCAUCCACAUGACUUGCUUCUUUCUCAAUGUCAUUACAUUAAGGAUUUUUUUAGCUUGUACAUGCAUGAUUGAUGCAAAUCCAGUUACUACACAACUUGCUAUUACUCUAACUCUUGAUCUUUACUCCAACACUGAUCUUUUAGAUCCAUUUGAAUAUCUGACCAUAGUUGGUAGUCUGCAAUACAUGUUGCUCACAUAGCCUGACAUUGCAUAUGUGGUGAACAAACUAUCUUAAUUUAGGUACCGCCCCAUUUGUGACCAUUGGAAUAUUUUGAAGUGACUAUUAUGAUAUCUUUGUGGGACCCUUAUUGAUGGUCUUCUCCUCUAUCAACAAUCUCCUUUAUCACUCAAUGCUUUUUUCGAUGCUGAUUGGGCAGUACUAAAGAUGACUAUACUUCUGCAAGUGCUUAUCAUGUUUACUUGAGUCACAAUCCUAUUUUUUAGAGUUCAAAGAAACAAUGAACGGUUGCUGGCUCCUCAACAAAUGCCGAAUAUAGAUUGGUUGCUACUAUUAUUGCAAAACUUAGUUGGAUUUGCUUACUUCUCAUUGAACUUAGAGUUUUUUUUUGUCUAUUCCUCUUAUAAUCUACUACGACAAUGUUGGUGUUACAAAUUUUUGUGCAAAUCUAGUAUUCUAUUCUCUGAUGAAGAAUAUUGCUUUGGAUUAACACUUCAUUCAUGAACAAGUUCAGCGUGGUACUCUUCAUGUUACCUAUGUCUGAUUGGAGGACCAAUUAUCAGAUACUCUCACAAAGCCUCUUCCGCGAGCUCAUUUACUUAAUCUCAAGACCAAGAUUGGACCCUUUCCCGGAGCUCCAUUUUGGGUGGCAUAAUAAAGAAAAUAUAUUUAUCCUUAAUUUAACUAUUAGUAUUUAUCUAUUUAUUAUUAGUUUAAAUUAGAGUAAAAUAUAGAGUUUGAAUCAUAGUAGAAGUCUACUAGUAUGAAUUAGAGUAGAAGAUAUAGUUUGAAUUAUAAUAGAACUCAAUUGUAUUUGUAUAUAAAUAUUCAUCAUCAUUGAUGAGAAUGAUAUGCCUUAUUUUUCCCAUCUAUUAUUCAUUUUUAGUUUCAUUGUUGCUUAUGUGGGCUUUUGCUAUGAGUUUAGAAAGGGAUAAACGAAAACUAUGAAGGUUUUGCUAAUAUUGAUUCAUCCCAAACAUAUGAUUUUUCCAUUUCUAAUUAAUAAUAGAAAAUGUGCAAGAAUAUUGGUAGAUUAGAGAAAAAUAGAAAGAAAUAAUGUUCUCUAGAAAACCACAACUAGUUGCCUUCAAGAUAGUUUAGAUAAUACCACCUCUAUUAUCCCAUACAAGAAAUUAAAAUAAACAAAUGUACAAUUAAAAUUUUAAUUUAGUUCUAUAUUAUAAAUAAAAUUAUAUAAUUAAAUUAAUUAAGAUUUAAAAAAAAUUAAAAUUUAAAUGUUAAAAUAACAACUUUUUUUUUUUAAAAUAAUAUAUUUAUAAAUUUUAAAUUUUAAAUAGGUUAAAUGUAUUAAAAUUUUGUUUAGAGGUUAAAGGGGUUACAUUUGUAUUGGUGAGUUGGAAUGGUGGUAACCGAUUAUAAUCAUGUCAAUUCAUACACAAAUGAACUUAACCCAUUUAAUAAAUGGGUUAAAUGGGUUGUAUCAUGAUACCCAUUUCACUAUUUACACGAAAAGAUCCAUUACAAGCCCCAUCAAAUCGUGGACAUUUCAUAUAGCAAGAUUGAGUAAAUCUAAAAGCAUUAUGGUCAUUUCAUGAUCUUGAAAUCAUUUAAACAACAUAGAAACUUGAGCCAAAGAGUGCUAAAUUUAACUACAUUCACAUGGAGAUAUUGAGAGUUUUGGAACAAAAUACUACCAUUUAAAAAAAAAACAACCCCCACAAAUAGAUUGGAUUUGAAAAUAAUAUCCAAUAUAAUACCUUUUGACCAUGUGGACACCUGCUUGGUAGAAGCAGUAUUUAAAAAAAAAAACAAAAACAAAAACAUAGUUAUGAAUUAUGUCCCCCCUUCUCCACCAUUUUUUUUCUUUAACUUUUCAUUUUUCUCUUGCUUCUUGAUUUUAGGUUCCAUUUUUUUUCCUACAACCCUCACUCUUCACCCCAUAUGUAAUACACCUCUCUAUUUCAAGUCUUAUUUUCUUUUUUGAACCCUUAGGUCCUAUUUUCUUUUUUGCAACCCUCAGGUCCCAUUUUCUUUUUUUACAAUCCUCACCCCUAGCCCAUACUUAUUGGCAAUGACAAUGAUGUAGUUGGAUGUGAGAAUGUGAGGGUUUCAUUGUUUCUUAUGUGGGCUUUUGUGGUAGUUUGGACCAUAACUCUUCAACUUUACCUAUUUCUUUUUUUGAAAACCUAACCCUUAACCCCAUACUCACUGGCAAUGGCAAUGGUGCAAUUGGUUGUGAGAAUGUGAGGGUUUCAUUGUUGUUUUUAUGGGCUUUUGUGUUAGUUUGGAGCUUUGUACACUACAAGGAAAAAGGUAUAUGGUGACAUUUAUAAUGAGUCACCAUAAACAUAAGGUGUCACUACAACAUAGCGUCACCUUCUCCACUAACACCAUAGAGGGUACCAAUUGGUGACGUAUUUGGAAGUGACACCAAAGUAGAUAAAUGGUGACCCAUUCAGAAGUGACACCAUAUAUUUCUAGUGAUGAUAGGGUGUCACAUUAAAUACAUCAUCUUUGAGUUAUGAUGUCACAUUAAAUGCAUCACCUUUGAGUUAUGGUAUCACAUCAUUGUAAAUUAUUGUGGAAUAUAUGAUUGGUUUUAGUUGUUGAUUUUUGUAAUGCUUAUGAAUUAAUAAGAUUAGCCUGUUUAUAUUUUGUCUAUAAAUAUAACAAUCAUAUUAUAUUUAACUCAUUUUUCUGUAAUGUUUCUGGAAUAACUCAUAAUACAUUGAUCAUCUAAUAAUAUUUGUAUAUCAAAUGUUCAUAAAAGGAUAGUACGUCCAACAUAUCAAACCCAUCAAAACUAAAAAAGAAGAGUGAAUACAUACCCAAACAUGAUUUAGAAAUGUUAAAGAUCCCAAGAUUCAUGUNNNNNNNNNNNNNNNNNNNNNNNNNNNNNNNNNNNNNNNNNNNNNNNNNNNNNNNNNNNNNNNNNNNNNNNNNNNNNNNNNNNNNNNNNNNNNNNNNNNNAAGGAUAGUACGUCCAACAUAUCAAACCCAUCAAAACUAGAAAGAAGAGUGAAUACAUACCAAAACAUGAUUUAGAAAUGUUAAAGAUCCCAAGAUUCAUGUAUACCUCCAUUUCAUAAGCAUAAAACCGGCUAACCAUAAAAUGACAUAGAAGUCCCAUCUAAAAAUCUAAAUUUCUCAGUUGCAAUUAAAGUAAUGUUUAUGUCUUACAACGUAUGACAUAAGAGUUGCAUUUAAAAACCCAAAAUCUUGUUGCCUUCUUCUUUUUUUUUAUUCUCCAUUUCACCCUCCCAAGAGUGUAUACCUGCAUUUCAAAAUUUAAUGAGUUUUAGAGAUUUUUAUUGAAGAAAAUAAACAUGGAUCUAUGUUAUCAUAAAUGAACAAAUCUAAGAAUUAUUUUUUUUUUUCAAAUAGAAACAUUAUUCAAAGAAUAAGCAUUACUAUACAAUACCUAUGGAAAAAUUCAUGUAGUAGCUAAGGGACUCACCAUGCAUGGUGAUCAUGAUGCAUCAACAUGAUUCAUGAUUAGUUGUAGCACAAAAGUAGCUCAUUCUCCUCUAAUUUCAUCGAAUUCUACUUGAGAAUAUGUUUUUUUUUUUAUUACCAAACUGAAAUCAAAUAAGAAAAUAACAUUAAAAUGCAUAACAUUUGGAAGCCUAAAACUAUGUACAAUUCAUUAAAUAAGCAAUACCUUUGAAGCAAUAAUUGUAGGAUAAAAAAUUAUCUCUUUAAUGAAUCUCAUAACAAAGUAGCCACAUUCGAACCCUCCUUCUUGUCUUGGACACUAAUCGAUCAAUUAUAAAAUAACAUUAGUACUCACAUAUAUAAAUGGUGCAAAUGCAUAAGCUAAUGUGUAAAGAAAAAUUUUUGGAUGUCACCUGCACUAGUUGCUAAGAUGGCUCCCUCUUAGAUGUUUUCUUGCAGAUAUUCGAAGAGCCCUAUGUAAAUAAGUUCAAUGGGUACAUUUUUAAAAUAGGUAAAUGUUAUAUGUUUUAAUAUAUAUAAAUAAUAAAAAAAAUGUGUUUGAGGUGAAUGUAUUUUUUUUUAUUUAAAAAUAAUACUAUGAAAAAUAAUAGGAAGAACUUACAUGUUUACGAUAUCCUUUAAGUCCUCACAUGGUUUGUGAUGCAUAGGGUCAAGAUAGUGGACUAUCAUUUUCCUUGGCUCAAGCACUACCUAAAUAUAAACCCUUUAACCUCAUAUCUAUUUCUAUUAACAAAAUAUAAAAACUUUCCAAAACUCAACUACUUAAAUAUAAAAACAAAAUCAAAUAAAAUAUCUAGCUAAUUGGAUUUUAUAAACUAAAUAAACUAUAAAUAAACUAAAUAUAAAAACUAAAUAAAAUAUCUAUGCCCAUGAAUUAAUUGAAGAUGAUAGAAAGACACAAAGAGAACAUGGCUAUGGUUAUGAUUUCCAUCUUAUCAUCUCCCGUCAAUACCACACAUGCCCAUUUUAAGGUUGGACACUACUUUUGUUGCUGGACUUGGAAAGGGAACUUCAAAAUUGAAAACAUAAAUAAACCCUUAUGUAAAAAAAAUAACAUUAAAAUAUAAUUGAACAUUAAAAUAUUUACUCUCUUUCAUCACUUUCAUUUGAAUAUUAAUAAUCUCUUAUUGAGAUAGAUACUUACAAUUUAACAAAAUAGAAAUUCCUAAUAAUAAAAAAUAUAAAAAUUUCUAUUUCUAUUAACAAAAUAUAAAAACUUUCCAAAACUCAAAUACUUAAAUAUAAAAACAAAAUCAAAUAAAAUAUCUAACUAAAUUGGAUUUUAGAAACUUAAUAAACUAUAAAUAAACUAAAUAUAAAAACUAAUAAAUUUCUAUGCCCAUGAUUUAAUUGAGAGGAUAGAAGACACAGAGAGAGAAUGGGUUAUGGGUUAUGAUUUNNNNNNNNNNNNNNNNNNNNNNNNNNNNNNNNNNNNNNNNNNNNNNNNNNNNNNNNNNNNNNNNNNNNNNNNNNNNNNNNNNNNNNNNNNNNNNNNNNNNAGUGACACCAAAGUAGAUAAAUGGUGACCCAUUCAGAAGUGACACCAUAUAUUUCUAGUGAUGAUAGGGUGUCACAUUAAAUACAUCAUCUUUGAGUUAUGAUGUCACAUUAAAUGCAUCACCUUUGAGUUAUGGUAUCACAUCAUUGUAAAUUAUUGUGGAAUAUAUGAUUGGUUUUAGUUGUUGAUUUUUGUAAUGCUUAUGAAUUAAUAAGAUUAGCCUGUUUAUAUUUUGUCUAUAAAUAUAACAAUCAUAUUAUAUUUAACUCAUUUUUCUGUAAUGUUUCUGGAAUAACUCAUAAUACAUUGAUCAUCUAAUAAUAUUUGUAUAUCAAAUGUUCAUAAAAGGAUAGUACGUCCAACAUAUCAAACCCAUCAAAACUAAAAAAGAAGAGUGAAUACAUACCAAAACAUGAUUUAGAAAUGUUAAAGAUCCCAAGAUUCAUGUAUACCUCCAUUUCAUAAGCAUAAAACCGGCUAACCAUAAAAUGACAUAGAAGUCCCAUCUAAAAAUCUAAAUUUCUCAGUUGCAAUUAAAGUAAUGUUUAUGUCCUACAACGUAUGACAUAAGAGUUGCAUUUAAAAACCCAAAAUCUUGUUGCCUUCUUCUUUCUUUUUAUUCUCCAUUUCACCCUCCCAAGAGUGUAUACCUGCAUUUCAAAAUUUAAUGAGUUUUAGAGAUUUUUAUUGAAGAAAAUAAACAUGGAUCUAUGUUAUCAUAAAUGAACAAAUCUAAGAAUUAUUUUUUUUUUUCAAAUAGAAACAUUAUUCAAAGAAUAAGCAUUACUAUACAAUACCUAUGGAAAAAUUCAUGUAGUAGCUAAGGGACUCACCAUGCAUGGUGAUCAUGAUGCAUCAACAUGAUUCAUGAUUAGUUGUAGCACAAAAGUAGCUCAUUCUCCUCUAAUUUCAUCGAAUUCUACUUGAGAAUAUGUUUUUUUUUUUAUUACCAAACUGAAAUCAAAUAAGAAAAUAACAUUAAAAUGCAUAACAUUUGGAAGCCUAAAACUAUGUACAAUUCAUUAAAUAAGCAAUACCUUUGAAGCAAUAAUUGUAGGAUAAAAAAUUAUCUCUUUAAUGAAUCUCAUAACAAAGUAGCCACAUUCGAACCCUCCUUCUUGUCUUGGACACUAAUCGAUCAAUUAUAAAAUAACAUUAGUACUCACAUAUAUAAAUGGUGCAAAUGCAUAAGCUAAUGUGUAAAGAAAAAUUUUUGGAUGUCACCUGCACUAGUUGCUAAGAUGGCUCCCUCUUAGAUGUUUUCUUGCAGAUAUUCGAAGAGCCCUAUGUAAAUAAGUUCAAUGGGUACAUUUUUAAAAUAGGUAAAUGUUAUAUGUUUUAAUAUAUAUAAAUAAUAAAAAAAAUGUGUUUGAGGUGAAUGUAUUUUUUUUUAUUUAAAAAUAAUACUAUGAAAAAUAAUAGGAAGAACUUACAUGUUUACGAUAUCCUUUAAGUCCUCACAUGGUUUGUGAUGCAUAGGGUCAAGAUAGUGGACUAUCAUUUUCCUUGGCUCAAGCACUACCUAAAUAUAAACCCUUUAAGUCCUCAUAUCUAUUUCUAUUAACAAAAUAUAAAAACUUUCCAAAACUCAACUACUUAAAUAUAAAAACAAAAUCAAAUAAAAUAUCUAGCUAAUUGGAUUUUAUAAACUAAAUAAACUAUAAAUAAACUAAAUAUAAAAACUAAAUAAAAUAUCUAUGCCCAUGAAUUAAUUGAAGAUGAUAGAAAGACACAAAGAGAACAUGGCUAUGGUUAUGAUUUCCAUCUUAUCAUCUCCCGUCAAUACCACACAUGCCCAUUUUAAGGUUGGACACUACUUUUGUUGCUGGACUUGGAAAGGGAACUUCAAAAUUGAAAACAUAAAUAAACCCUUAUGUAAAAAAAAUAACAUUAAAAUAUAAUUGAACAUUAAAAUAUUUACUCUCUUUCAUCACUUUCAUUUGAAUAUUAAUAAUCUCUUAUUGAGAUAGAUACUUACAAUUUAACAAAAUAGAAAUUCCUAAUAAUAAAAAAUAUAAAAAUUUCUAUUUCUAUUAACAAAAUAUAAAAACUUUCCAAAACUCAAAUACUUAAAUAUAAAAACAAAAUCAAAUAAAAUAUCUAACUAAUUGGAUUUUAGAAACUUAAUAAACUAUAAAUAAACUAAAUAUAAAAACUAAAUAAAAUUUCUAUGCCCAUGAAUUAAUUGAAGAGGAUAGAAAGACACAGAGAGAGAAUGGGUAUGGUUAUGAUUUCCAUCUUAUCAUCUCCCGUCAAUACCACAAAUGCCUUCUCGGAUUGGUCCUUUUAGGGUUGGAUACUCUCAACGAAAUUCUAUAUCUCAUUCCCACUUAGAUACAAACAGAAAAAUCAUUCUUUUUUUUUCCUCUCUCGUUUUUUAGAAAGGAUGAAGAUUAUGUGAUAGUAUAUCUUAAAAAAAUUCUGUACCUGUCAUUCUCACACAAAUACAUAUUAAAAAUCAUUCAUUUUUUCCUGUUUUUCACUUUUUUUUAAAGACUUGAUCAUGUGUUUGGUUUAGAUUAAAAAAAUCAAUUAAUCUAUAGUUUUUUCUUCCAUGCUAGAAGAUUAAACCUAAAUUUUUCUUCCCUACAACUCAAGAAAACACAAUUCACAAAAACCAUAAUACAAAGAUGUUGAAACAAUUAACAUAAUGGCAUUAAUAAAAGAAAAAAAAAUGAUAGAUCCAAGAGAUUUUGGGUUACCUGGGAGUCCACAAAGUGAAGAAUGUCGGUUUUGAGCGUGUUGACUAUGGAUGGGUGAGAGAAAAGGUUGAAGAAGAUCAUGAUUUUAUAUAUAGGAUUUAUAUAUUGAGAUUUUUUGGAUUGUGGGUGAGAUAUGGAAACAAUGGGAUUUUUAUAUAGUAUCCAUCAUUAUUAAUUCUAAAAGUGGGCUCAUUAAGUUAUAAUACUUAAAAAAAUUUAUUUUAUAUGAUGUCACUUCCCAAAAAAUGACACUAUAAAUAUAAAAUUAAUAUCAUCUAACUACCUCAAUUGAAGAUUUUUAUAUGAUGUGUCACCUUUAUUAAUUAUAAACCCUAUGGUGUCAUUAUUUUAAAAGUGACACCGUAAAUAGUGACACCAUAAACUAUUUUUGUAGUAGUGGUAUCAGUAGGUAAGUCAUCUUUCAAUGACCAUAUGAUCUUAGAUAAGGAUGGACAUGAACCAAGUACUAAACAUAAGAAGGCAUGUUCCUAGAUAAAAUUCAUCUGAUGAAGAAUAUGCUUAAAAAAUCUGAAGGUCUCGUAUACCUAAGAUCUUCUACCUGAUGACUUGAAUCAUGAACUUGACACUCCAAAGUGUGGGCAAUGGAAGGGAGGAAACUUUGGCUCUCUCUCUCUCUUUUUAGAGGUUGAAGGCGACUAACUAAAAGUCAUUAGGAAACCUUAACUCAUAAAAGGGGUAUUUAUAAAGUUGCCCAUUGAGCUUAAGUGAUAGGAGGCCAUCAAGGCCUGAGUCACUUAAUCUAGCCCAAAAUGGGUCCUAAUUGAUUAAUUAACUACAUAAGGUCAUCUAAUUAAUCAAUUACUCCAAUCUAGAGACUUUGUUCAUUAUUCCUUGUACAACCUUACAAAAUUACCAAAACACCCUUAUGAAUAAGAAUGGACUUAGAGCCAAUCCAACCCUCAUAUAUCAUGUCAUCAUGGUAUAUGAGCUCAGAGCGAGGACCACUGACACCCAUAGGAGUCCUUAGAAUCUAAUUCUGAAGUUGAUUCAACAUUUCACUAAAGAGAAUCCAUUGCACUCUAGUACCCUAUGUAAAUAACAAUGAGACGAAGUUUGGGUCCAUGACUUAUUAUCCACUGCAUGUAGACUCCCCAUAAACUAGUGUCCAUAAUCUAACAAGGUAGUGCUAUUACCUAUCAAGAUUACCUCUCAGAUCCUUGAGUUAUAGAUCCCACUUAUUAUGUGAUCAACUAACAUACUUUAGCUCCAAGGAGCAUAUGUCAAAUUCCAGUAAAGGAAUUGCUAUGGUAAUAGAUUUUAUGAUCACAAGUCUUUUAGAUCACCUAAGGAGACACUGUCUCAAUCCCUUGAGAUAUCUUGGUGCCUUUAUUGAGAAUCUCUAUUGCCACCAACCUCCAUCAACAGUGACCCAAUCUAUAGGGAUAUAUGACCACCUUAGGGUCUCACCUAUAAGUUAAAGCCUUUUGUUGAUUUUGGCACAAACUCAAUAUCCUUUUAAGGUUAAGAGUUCAUGCAGUAUAGUAGCUUGGUGAAUCAUGACAAUUGAUAGCCUUGCGUCAUGAUCCACUAUAGGUCAUGUCCAGUGUGCAUCACAUACAUUAGUGUACUCACCAUAAGAAACCCAUCUUGACUACCAAGAUAAGUCAUUCCCCCAAUUAGGAGAUGAUGCACUACAGUCUCUACUAGAUUGCCCAAAUCAUGAAUCGAUUGUGGACAACUUAUCCACUUACAAGGAACCCAUGACUUGUAUCUUCUAUGUAACUCCUAAUGCACACAAGCCAUACACAAUGUAAGAGAUAUGAGUUGAAUGCUCAAAUGAAUUCAAUACACCACAAGGAUAGACAUGAGAUAGUUUAGUCUAACUUUGUUACAUCAUGUCAUUCUUUUAGGGACUCAAUCCCAACAAACUCCCACUAGCACAAAAAAUAGACUCGGUAUCGUAGAAACAAUUUGCUCCACAACCAUAUCACCUCUCUAUUCUAUCUCAUAAUAAGGUAGGACUCCCUCUUCUAGUGGUACUUCAGCUCUUUAGACUAUGUCAUCGUCUUACUGUUAUUACGUAACAGGAUCUUAGACGAUAUAGCCAAGAGAACUACCCAUAGGGUAAAAGGCUUCCUUUGUUGCUAUAGAAGUAACAAAAACCACUUAGAGUGUACACAAACCCAAAUGUAAACCUGUGAUAGUCCUUAUCAGAUUGAAAUUCCAAUUUCCCGAUACAAAGGGAGUACCAAAUCAUCGUAAAGACCCACAGUCAUAUAAUCCUUCAUUCUCUAAAGAUACUUGAGUAUAUGUUUGACAUCCGCCCAAAGCUUUAAUUAGGAACUGGACGAAUAUCCACUCAUUAUUCCUACAACAAAGCAAAUAUCUAGUCUAGCACAUAGCAUCGCAUACUUAAGGCUAUUCAUUGUAGAGACAUAAGAUAUCGCUUUAAUGCGAUCUUUCUCCACAGAUGUCUAAGGACAUUGAUAUUGAGAAAUGCAACUCCAAACCCAAAGAAUAAAAAACCCUUCUUGGAGUUUCACAUCAUGUACUUGAUUAAAUGCUCAUCAGUGUAUGUGACAGGACACAAUUUCCUAUUCUUGCAAUCUUAAAAUACCUUAACCCCAAGAAUAUAUUGUGCCUUAAGAUUUUUAUCUAGAACUAAGUAAGCAACUAGAUCUUGACUGAUUGCAAUAUCCUUACAUCACAUCUAAUGAGUAGAUUAUCAUCUACCUACAAGAUCUUAAAGCAUCACCAUGCUUCCCUAUGCCUUUUUGUAAUGACAAGGCCCUUUUCUAUAAAAAUGUUUGGUUGCUAUAUUGCAUAAAUGAGACACGUUGCAAUAGAUAGGAGUAAUUUGAUGGAUUUGAGUAUGACCACUAUUGAAAAGUUUUUUCAUAGUUGAAACAAUGUUUCAAACUAUAACCUUUAGCUACAGUCUUAGCCACAUAAAACUCAAGCUUUCCAUCUACUCAUGUGUUCCUCAUUUAGACCAACUUACACUUUGAUUACUACUCAAAACAUGCUAUUUUGUAGCUUGUAAUUAGCUCUUUUAAACACCAUUGAGUAGUAACUAUUACCUUUUAACCCAAUUAGCAUGUUAGGAGCCCUUGAAAUCGUUUCUAACAAUUGUGUUAAGUUUUGGUGCUUUUUGAUAGCUUUAUGCCCACCAAAGCAAUUUAAGAAUGAGGGAGAGCUAUUUAUAGUUCAUGGCAAAGCUUUUGGAAGCUUUUAUUUUUGAAGAAAUCAAGCUAUGGAGCCUCAUAAUCCUUUGCCUUAAUCGUUCAAAGUUUACAAGGGAGAAACAAUGGAGAAGAAGAAAACAGGGGAUGAAAACAGGGGACACAGCUUCAGUCUUUUAGUGCACUUUUGGAGCACUUUCCGAAGUCCAUUUUUUACGUUCUACAUACCAUUUCAAAGCUCAGAAAGUCAAGAAUCCAAAGGUUCAAACCAUGUACGAUUUGGAGCUGAAAUGAGAAAGAUAUGGCCUUCGGAAGACAACUGCAUCAAGCUGAGGGACAAUUUCGCACACCACUGUGCAAGGUGCGAAUUCCUCAGUCCACUGUGCGAGAAUUUCGCACACCUCAAAUCAAGGUGCGAAAUGGGAACUCCAGCGUGCGAAAAUUGGAUAUUUUUGCCGACUCUUUUUCUUCUGAUAUUUUUGUGUCUAAAUUUCCAUUUUCUCCUUGUAUUCAACCACUCAUGUAAUUCCUUAGCUAGGAAGUAUCCAAGGAAGGGUAAAAUUACCUUCUUAUAUAAAUUCUCUUGUAAUCACUGAAAAUGUAUCUUCGUCGGGGAGCUUUCUCCAGGAGACCAACUUAUGUAACUUUGUUAUACAGAGAUCUCUUUUGUUUAUUUUCUCUCUUCUAUUUUCUAUUUUCUUGCAAGCCAAACACCCUCUGAGGAUGUUUUCCCAGAGGAUGAGAGGCUAAACAAUAGUUUCUUGGAUUAAAGGAAGCUAGGUGAAAAGUCCAGAUUAAAAGGUGGAAAAUUUCCGUGCAUUAAAUUCAGGUAGUUGGAGUCCAUAAAUGGUUUUUAAAGCCAAGGUUUUGCCUUAAAUCCCUUCGAAUCACUUUGACUGGCCAAUACAUGGUAAGCUUAAGGUCUCUGUGGAUGCUUAUUGCUAGAUCCAUAUCAGUCCAUUAGUUAUCAUAUACGAGCCAUUGGAAAGUGAUUCAAGGUGAUAGUCCAUAGUGUCUUAAGCCAUUAAUGGACCUUGACUACCAUCUCUAGUGACUUUUUAUGGAUUAAAACUUCAUUGUCAAACCUAUACCGGUUCGGGAAAUAACUAUAGGUUAAAUCCCCAAUGCGAGGAGAAAAAUCCGGAAUUUUCCACUUUGCAUCUGGUACUUGAACCUAGCAACCUUUAGCUCCGGGAGACUUUCUUUCUUCCACUUUUUACUUAGUUCUAUGUGAGUUUAGUUUAAAUCACCACUUUCAAAACAAUUUUAUUUUCUUUUAAACUCUAAGUUUUUGAUAAAGGAAAUCAUUAAAUUCAAUUCAUAAUCAUGAGUAUAUCACUGGUAGAGUGAAAACCCAUCCCUGAGUUCGACCCUAGAACUGCUAUACUAUAGUAGCUUUGCUACGCCAGUAUAAGGUCAUAGGUUUUAUAAAUGUUUUUGAUUAAAAGACCUGGCUGGGAAGUCAAAAGCGAAUCACACUUAUAGGUUUUAUUCCUUUAGGUGCUUCUAUAGGAACUUAAACUAUGUUAGAAUACAAAGAUUCUAACUACCUUUUCAUAGUUCAUUAUCUUAAGUGUGCACAGAUACUACUCACUGCUUCAUCAUCAUAUAUGGAAUAUAAACCUCCCACUAUAAUGAGGUAUUGAUGUACGAGUAAUCAUAGGAAUGAUAUGUUUCUUACCUUCUGGAUCCAUUGUAUCUUGUGCAAAAAAGAGGCUAUCUUCUAAUAUUUCCUCCAAUUUAUAUCAUUCUUUGUUUAAUUCCUUAUCAUAUAGUAUUCAUAAGCAGCCUGACAUUUAUAUCAACAAACACUUUUUGAGGAUCCUGAAUAUAAAGGUAAUAACCCUUGAAAUCCUUUUGGAUAUCUCAUAAACUGAUAUACAUAUUAAGAAAAAGAGGUAUUGCAUGUUCUAUAAGACAUAUCUCCAAAAGAAUCUGGGAAAAGAUGAGAAACCUAUCCAUAAUCUCACUAUGUCCAUCCAAGUUUGAUAUAUUCUUUCUACCUCUCCAUUUUGCAAUGGAGACCCUAAUUGGGAAAUAAUCUCAUGCUCCAACGGAAAGAAUCAAACUAAUUAGACAUAUCACCUUAAUAUAAUCAAAGUGACUUGGUAUGUACCCAAUAGGUUAUCCGAUCCUACCUUAAAUUCAAUGAAUGUAUCCAAGGCAUCAGAUUUCCUAUGUACAUAUCCAAACCUAGAGUAAUCAUUACUAAAAGUGACAAAAUACCCAUACCCUCCCCAUAUAUAGAUACUAAAAGUUCCAACAUGUCAAUAUGCACUAACUCCAAACAUUUUUUGGCCCUAGUCUUCUUGGUCAUUUUACCAUUUAUACAAUAUUCGUUGACUGGAAGAUUUUUUAGAAUCAAAGAGUCCAGACUUUACCGGUAUUUGGAUCCUAUUUAAAUUAAUAUGACCUAGGUCUAGAUACCAAAUAUUUAAUUAGUGCUAGGUUCAAUCUUGAUAUCUGACUAUAUAUUUUUAUCACUUGGCAACGUGAUAAUGGAAUACAUAUACAAGAAGAAGAUAUUACCUCCCACUAUCCGACAAAACUAACCUUGCAUUUGAAGUUAAGGUAAAUAUAAUCCCAUCAUUUAACCUUCUCACUUGUUGAAUAUCCUAUAAGGACUUAUAAACAUUAGGCUUGGAAUCUAUCCACCAUAAAUGGUGAAAUCCACCACUAAAUAUUCAACAACGAGAAAAUGAUGUAUACUUUCCUUUUUUCUUUAAGUAAACUAGUCAUUCCUUUUCUAGUGUUCUAAAAGGUCACAAAGGAAUCACUUGCCCCUGAGCUUGCUCUCUUAUUGAUUAUCUUGAACUUUCCUUAUUUGGUGUUCUUGUUUUUCUUCUUGGUAGAAGAACCUUUGACUUCCAUAUGAACACCCUAUAAUCUUUGAGAAUCCCCUUAGCCACCUUGAAGGAAUAUGAUAAGGUCUCUAAGAUCAUAUGAAUAUUGGUGUUCAUAAAAGUCUUAAGAGUAGCUUGUCAAAGCUGACCUAUCCUUAUCACCAAAUAAUCAUUACAAACUAGAAAGAGAAUAUCAAAGUCUCUAGUAAUAGACAUGUGUUUCUAUUGCAACACAUUAUCCAAAUAUCCAAGUAUUAGAUACUUGGUCUUCUAAUCUAUCCAAUACCGCCUUGAUAUACCACUUUUUCCUUUUUCUAUGUUAGUUCAUAAGGAAUAGCUAGCUCUACCUAAACUAGCUUUUAUGAAAUUAGUUACUAUAUCUAGAAUAAAAUUACUCUAAUUGAUUAGUUAGGCUUGGUCUAUUGUGAGAAAGAGAGUGAUAAUAAAACCAACAUCAUAUCUAUGUCAAAGAAUAUAACCAAGCAUAUGACAUAAUUGAACAUUCAAGGCAAUUGGUAAUUAAGUUAGCAAAAAUGUAGUGCUCUCAAACUACAUGUCCUUUUGCAAGACAUUCUAGUAUCAUAAGAAUCAAGCCUAUAGUGGGCAGUUCAUUACCUUAUUACUAGUUAGAGAUCCUCUCAGAUUGAUCUCCCUGUUAGGAACCCUGGAUUACUUCAUUCCCAUGUCCUGGAUCUCAUAAGGUGCAUGAAUAUAUCCUUAGGGCUCUCUAGAUCUAACACAACAGACAAUAAAGGCUUCAAAAACCACUAUAAAAUAAAGAUUUAGAGAAAAAAUGCUCAUACUUGGAUCUGGAUGUUCUUAGAUCAAUUCCUUGUGGUGAAGAACAUCUUAGAAAAACUAAAUAAUCGCUCUUCAUGUUGCUAGCAACAUGCAUGUCCUAUGCAAUUCUCAUGCACAUUGCAUGCAAUUCCCAUGCAUGUGGCCUAUGUGCAUCCCGUGCAGUUCUCAUGCGUGCAUUUUGUGUGAUUCUAGUGCGCUCUCAUACACCCAAGAUCUUCUGUAGGAUGACUCUUCCUCUUGUCUAGGCACUGAGAUGAUGGAGAUCUCAAAGGUGGAGGCUAAGGUUUUCUCUUUGGACUAAAAAAGAAGAAUGAUAAGACAUAGAAACUCUAACCUCUAAAGGGGUAUUUAUAGGCUUCCUACUUAGCUUAAGUGACUUAAGCCUAUCAUGGGCUUAGGUGACUUAAGCCUACCAUGGGCUUAGGUCACUUAAUCUAACCUAAAAAGGUUGCUAAUUGAUUAAUUAACCAUAUGAGGCCCUAAUUAGUCAAUUAACCCAGUCUAGACAUACCACUCACUUAUCCUUAUGUAACAUUAUGUAAUUACCAAAAUGCACUUAUGAACAAAAGUGAACUAAAAAACCCAUUCAACCCUCAUAAACCAUGCCAUAAAGGAAUAUAAGCUAAAAGCGGGGACCAUUAGGACUCAUAGGAGUACUAGCUGUCUCAGAAUCAAAUUCUGAAAUUGACUCAACAUCUCACUAUGGAGAGUCAAUUGUACUCCAAUACCUUAUGUAUAUUACAACGAGACACCAAGGGAUAAGGUUUGUGAUCUACUAUCCAUUGCAUGUAGACUCCUAAUGAACUGGUGUUUGAAAUCUAACAAGGUAGUGUUAUCACUUAUCAAGAUUACCUUUUAAAUCCUUGAGUUACAGAUCCCACUUAUUAUGUGAUCAACUGACAUACUGUAGCUCCAAGGAGCAUAUGUCAAAUUCCACUAAAGGAAUUACUAUGGCCAUAGAUUUCACGAUCACAUGUCCUUUGGAUCACCCAAGGGGACACGCUGUCUUAAUCCCAUGAGAUAUCAUGGUGCCUAUAUUGAGAAUACCUGUUGCCACUAGCCUCCAUCAACAGUGACCCAAUCCAUAGGAAUAUAUGACUACUUUAGGGUCUCACUCAUAGAUCAAAGCCUUCUGUUGAUUUUGGAAUUGACUCAAUAUCCUCUCAAGGUAUAGAGUCCAUGCAGUAUGGUAGCUUGGUGAAUCAUGAAAAUUGAUAGCCUUGUAUCAUGAUUCAUCAUAGGUUCUAUCCAGUUUGCAUCACAUACGUUGGUGUACUCACCAUGGGAAAUCCAUCUCGACAGCCAAGACAACCUAUCCUUCUAAAUAAGAGGUGGUGCACUACAGUCUCUAUUAGAUUGCCCAAAUUCAUGAACCAACUGUGGACAAUUUAUUUACUUACAAGGAACCCAUGACUUGUAUCUUUUGUGCAACUCCUAAUGCACCUAAGUCAUGUACAAUAUAAAAGACAUGGACUAAAUGCUCAAAUAAAUGUCAAUACACCAAAGGGAUAAAUAAGGGGAUAGUUAAGUCUAACUUUGUUACAUCAUGUCUUACUUUUAGGGGCUCAAUCCCAACACUCCCUUCCUUAACCAUGAAAGAUUUAUAAAAACAAGAUCAACAUACCUUUUAUUUGGCCCAAGGACUAUGCAAGUGGUGUUACGAUGGGCGAUUCGACCAUUUCAUAUCCAAUGAUAAGUGUAUAAACAUUGUCCUUGAACUACCAAUGUCACCAAGUAAGGAACCCCACCAGUAGGGUGGUUGUUCCACUAUUGACAUGUCUAGUUUCGUCUUAAUGGAGAGACCAUAUCCCUUGAUUCUUAGGGCCCAACCUGCCAAUGAAGUGGUGAUGAACCUAAAUCAAGAUGGGCUUGACAAUGGAGGUCGUGGGCUUGAAAAUGGAGGUCGUGGGUUUGCCUAAAGCCCUUUCCUACUUAAUCUUUUGAGAUAAAUAAGAGCAUUUUACAAUCAUUAGUAAUUUCCUUGAUAACAAAAUUAUUAUUUCACAAACAUUUAUUUCCUAAUUGGAUACCUAGUGUAAUAGGAGAAUAUGAACAUGAAAAAUUUAAAAUUUCCAUGAGAGUAAUUUCAAAAAGAAUUUUGAUAAAAUAUCCACUCUCAAAAUUUUAAAACCUAAUUUUAGAAAAUUCUCCCUUUAUACACAAUUCCAAUUAAUAAAUAUUUUAUUAAGGAAAUGUUUUAAAGAAAUUUAUUUCUAUUAAAUUACUAAGCCUUUUGGUAAUAAUCUUUUAAGGGUAAAUUAUCUCUAAUGAAUAUUUCCAAAAUAUUUAUUUUCCGAAUUGGAAACUUUAGUGUAAUAAGGUUUUGAAAAUCUUGAGUGCAUUUUAUUCAAUAAUGGAACUUUUACUUUUCAUAUUCAAAAUUCCUUCUAAAUUUACUUUCCUUAUCCCUACACCUUUCCCACUUAAUAAAUAUUUCUAUGGAAACUUCAUAAUAAUUUAUCCCAUUAAAUACUACCAAAAACAAAACCUUUUAAUAAUUCCUUAAUGAAUAAAAUAUUCUCUAUGAAAAAACUCCCAAAAAUGUUUAUUUCCUUAAAAAGAAAUUAAACAAUUCAUUUUGGAAAGUAUUUUAAAAAUAUUUUAUAUCUCCAUUAAAUUACUAAAAUUUUCCAAAAAUAUUUUGACAAUCUUUCUUAUCAUAAAUUCUCUAUCAUGAGAUUUUUCAAAUACAUCAUUUAUAUUUUAAAUCGAGACUCCUAUGCUAAAAGAAUUGCCCUUUAUUCCUUAUCCUUGAACUAUCCAUAUCCUAAUAGAACGGUUUUCUCCUCGAGAGGGAAGGGAGCCUGAAGAACCAUCUAUCCCAAAACCAAGAGGACAAUUCCAAAAAGAAUAUUAUUCUUAUUAGCAAUAACUAGUUUAAAUAAAUAAUCUUAGAAAAAUCUUCUCAUAAAAAUUUACUAAGAAUACCAAAAUACUUUUUUUUUUAAUAGGUUUUAACACUUAUUUUUGGUAGCUUUCUUAAUUAUAAAUUAUUUUUUAUAAAUUUCCAAAAUGAACUUUUUUUCUUUAAAUUGGAAUCUUAUGCUAAAUUGGAAAAAUAUUAUUUUAUAAAGAUUUGGAAAAACAAGAGUUUUUUUUUUUCUUAAAAUAAAGAUUUUAUUCUUAGAGAUCUCAAAGAUUUAAGAAGAUUUUAAAUAAAAUUUAAAUCUCUAAGAAUUCAUUUUAAAAAGAAAAUAAAUCUCUUAAUCCUUCUCCAACUUAUCUUUUCUUAAAAUAAAAUUUCCUAACCAUGCACAUUCCAACAUAAAUAAGUUUUCAAAUUUUGAAAAAUGCAUGAAAAUUUAUUUCCAAUUAAGAAUACCAAAAUAUCUUAAGGCCACAUAUGCAAUUAAUUAAGAUAACAUAUAAUAAAAAUAAGAGAAUAAUAAAAAAGAAUAUUUCCUAUCGCCUUUAGGGAUCCUGUUGCAUAUUUGGUAAUUAAAAAUGGAUAAAAUCCAAAUUACCAAAAUAGCUCUGUAAUCAAAGAUUCGGGUUAGUAAAAAUUGAAAAACCCUAAAAGACCCAAUUGCCAUUAAAAAAAAAAAAAUGAGCCCAAGAAGAGGCCUAAAAUUCAGCCCAAACAACAAAAAAGAAUUGGACCCAUAUGCAAUCUCGUAACAUGUUUUUUGCGUAGCCAUGCAUCAAUUGACCAUAUCUCCCUUGUUUCAACUCCAAAUUAUAAUUCAUUUGAAGCAUUGGAUUCUUGACUUCCUAAGCUUCAAAACCAUAUGAGGCUUGCUCUAAGAAAACCAUGGGAGAUAGUCCCAAUUUUGAGUUAAAAUUGACAUUAUUAUGUUGCCAUAGAUCUCGAAACAAGAACUUCUAAGAAUUUUUUUUCUUUAAUCACCAUAGGAUCUCAAAAAGAAACUUCAAGAUUUUUUUUUCUUGGGUCACCAUAUAUGAAUAUAAAAAACUAAAUUUUUACAAUAAUAAAAAUUCCUAUGCUCUUCUUAUGGAGUUUACAACCCAUCUAUUGAAAAGAAAAGAUUUUUACAACCAAAUAAAAAUCCUAUACCCCUUAUGUGGUGUAGAACCUAAUCUAGAGAAUAAAAAAACAUAGAUCAUAUUCAUUCAUAUUCAUUCAUUUAAUUGAAUCAAUAAAAACAUUUCAUUCAUUCAUCCAUAGGGGUUAUGGGAUGAAUAAAAUAACCCUGCAAAUAGUGUUAGUACACCUUGGAACAAAUCUAACAUGCUAAAACCUAUCAUAGGGCUCUAAUACUAGUUGUUGGAAAACCUGGAUUACACUGUUCCCAAGCCUUGGACUCGUAGAGUGCAUACAUCUAUCCCUAGACAUCUCUAAAUCUAUCGCAACAGAAUAAAAAUAGUUUUAAAACCAUUUUAGAAUAAGAUCUAGAGAUUUGAAAAUCAUACCUAUGAUCUAGAUGUUCCCAUAUCAAAAUCCAUCAAAUGAAGAACAUGCUUGAAAAAUAUGAAGGUCUUGUACACAUAAGAUCUUUCAUCCGAUCACUUAAACCAUGAUCUUUGUACUCCAAAGUGUGAAUAAUGGAAGAAUGGAAGUUUUGGUUCUCUCUCUUUCUUUCUCUCUCUUUCUAGAAGGGGAAGAUGACUAUCUGAAAGUCAUUAGGAAACUCUAACUCAUAAGAGGGUAUUUAUAGGGUUUCCCAUUGGAAUUAAGAGACUUGAGCCCAUCAAGGCUUGGGUCACUUAAUCUAGCCUAAAACGAGUCUUAAUUAAUUAAUUAACCACAUAGGGCCAUCUAAUUAAUCAAUUAACCCAAUUUAGAGACCUUAUUCAUUAUCCAUUAUGCGACCUUGCAAAAUUACUAAAAUGCUUUUAUGUACAAGAAUGAACUUAAAGCUAAUCUAAUCCUUAUAAACUGUGUCAUCAUGCUAUAUGAACUUAGAGUGGGGACCACUAGGACCCAUAGAAGUAUUGGCCGCCUUAGAAUCCAAUUCUGAAGUUGAUUUGACAUUCCACUGAAGAGAAUCAAUUGCACUCCAGUACCCUAUGUAAAUAACAACAAGAUGAAGUUCAGGUCCGUGACCUACUAUUUACUACAUGCAGACUCCUCAUGAACUGGUGUUUGUAAUCUAACAUGGUAGUGCUAUCACCUAUCAAGAUUUCCUUUCAAAUCCUUAAGUUACAAAUCUCACUUAUUAUGUGAUCAACCAACAUACUCUAGCUCCAAGGAGCAAAUAUCAAAUUCCACUAAAGGAAUUAUUAUGGCCAAAGAUUUCAUGAUCACAUGUCCUUUGGAUCACCCAAGGGGACACACUGUCUUAAUCCCUUGUGAUAUCAUGGAGCCUUUAUUAAGAAUACCUAUUGCCACCAACCUCUACCAAUAGUUACCCAAUCAUAGGGAUAUAUGACCACUUUAGGGUCUCACCCAUAUGUCAAAGCCUCUUGUUGAUUUUGACAUAAGCUUAAUAUCCUUUCAAGGUUAAGAGUUCAUGCAAAAUAGUAGCUUGAUGAAUCAUGAAAAUUGAUAACCUUACUUCAUGAUUCACCACAAGUCCUGUCUAGUGUGCAUCACAUACACUAGUGUACUUACCAUAGGAAACCUAUCCUAAUUGCCAUGAUAAGUCAUCCCUUAAAUUAGUAAAUGGUACACUACAGUUUAGAUUGGAUUGCCUAAAUCCAUGAACUAACUGUGGACAACUUAUCUAAUUACAAGAAACCAAUGACUUGUAUCUUCUAUGCAACUCCUAAUGCAUACAAGUCAUGUAUAAUGUAAGAGACAUGAACUGAAUGCUCAAAUCAAUGUCAAUACUCCAAAAGGAUUGUAAGAGGACAAUUAAGUCUAACUAUGUCACAUCAUGUCAUGCUUUUAGGGGCUCAAUCUCAACAGUCAUGACUCACUGUAGGUCAUAUCCAAUGUGUAACCAUACACACUAGUUCACUCACCAUAUGAAUCUCAUCCCGAUAGCCAAGACCAUCCAUUCCUUCAAUUAAAAGGUUACCACUACAGUCUCAAAUGGAUUGUCUAAGUCCAUGAACCAAUUGUGAUCAAAUCCUCUACUUGCAAAGAACUCAUGAAUUGGAUCUUGUGUGCAACUUGUAAUGCACCCAAGUUAUAUAUAAUGCAAGAGAUACUAGGUGAGAAUGCUCAUAAAAUAUAAUGUAUAGAAUAAUGAUAGAUAAAAGUAAAAAUGAAAUAUUAUUAAAUGAAUAAUGAAUUCCAAAUCUGUUACAUCUUGUCAUGCUUUUAAGGACUCUAUCUUAACACACAUCUUGUCAAGAAGUUGUGGCAUUUCAUGGCGAUUGAAAACAAAAGGUAAACACUACAGGCUUGCUACUACCCCUUCCCCCCCCCCCCCCCCUAUUUUACUUGGAUUUGUAACAAAAGUCCAUUUUUCAUCUUCAUUUAACUUAUCCUCUUAUUGAGUUUCAAACAAGAGACCAUGUGAGUUGCAGUUGUCAUAUCUUUAUUGAAGAACUCUGGAGGGAAGUAUUCCCCUUAGGUGAUAGGAGUGAGUGAUGAGUUUUUGUAACAAGAGGUCAUCAAUUUGUAUAAUCAUUUGUUUUCUUUUGCGGUUCCUUUUUUUCCUUUCUUCUUAGGAUGUUGAUAGGUAUUUUGCUCACAUCAUUCUCUCUUAGGAAAGUUAGGUUGUGGAUAAGGGAUUUUUUUUUUUUUUUUUGCAAGGUUUUCUUCGAGUCACCAAUGUUCAACCUUCUUUACUAUCUAAUAUUGAUUAAUUGUUAGAGUUAGGGUAAAGAAGGUAGCCUUGGUAUGGAACUUGUAUUUGCCUUAGCUUAGUUCAUUUGUAUCAAAUAGUCCUAAUACAUGCCCUUGAUAUCUUAGGUGGACCAUGUAACUAAAAGGGAUCAAAUGACCCAAAUGUGAUAGUAGCAUGAUUUGACUCUACUAGGUCAUCGAGAUUUGAAUGAGUCUUUCCUUGUUUUGCAAGAUUCAUCAUGAGUUCUUUUAAGAUGAAACAUUUCUUCACUAAUUGACUUAAAAUUCGAUGGUAAUGGUAGUACUUUGGAUCAUGACCCACUUCUUCUAGGUGCUUACUCUUGGGUAAUUCAAUGACUUUUUUUUGGAGGUCUUCUAACAUGAUAGGCACAUUAGAGUCAAGAAAAUGAUACUUCUUUUUCAGUUCCUUCAAGAUGAAACAUCUCCUCUCUUUUUCGUAGGUUGGUCUAGUUUGUCUCACCUUUUUCUUUUUAUCUUGUGUUGAUUUUUUUUAUAGGAGUUGUAUUCAAUGUCAUUGACUCUUCGAUGGGUUUCUUUAAUGUAUUAUUACCUUUCUUCCCAUCAUCUCUUUUCUUUCAUUGGUCAAUGAUAAGGUCUUUAUUUGCCCCAUGUUUUGCUAUUUUGAGUUCCAUGUCCUAAGCUCAAGUAGCCAACUCUUUGAAGGUGUGGGGUUGUAUCUCUUAGAAGAUGUAUAGUUGAACUAAUGCAUUCCCUAUAUGCACAUACUUGAUAUCUCGAAUAAUUUAUCCUUGCAAUCAAGGCUUAUGGAAUGCUAGUGAUUGAUGUAGUCAAUGAGUGACUCGUCUUUCCAUUGCUUGGUAUGGGUAAGCUCAAUCAUUCUUACAAUUCAUUGGGUACUAUAGAAGUGAUUAAGGAAUUCAGACUUUAUUUGGUCCUAAUUAUCAAUGCACUUGGGCGCAAGGUUUGUGUACUAAUCAAAAGGAUUCCUUCGAAGGGAACAAACAAAUUGUUUGAUUAACAAGUCACCCUUUGUUCUUGCAUUAUUGCAAGUUUUGACAAAAUAGGCAACAUUUUGCUUUUGAUUUCCCUUUCUAUCAAAUGAUUGAAGCUUUAGAGGUUGAUACCCUACAAGCAUACAUAGGUUAUCAAUCCUCUCAGUGUAAGGCUUAGAGUACAUGAGUGUAUUUGUGAAAGUCCACCAUAUUGAGAUCUAAUGGUGUUAGUUAUCAUGUCUUAAAGUUGUUGGAUAGAUAGUGACACCACCAAAGUGGAUUUCACCAUUUGCCUCUUGAGCUGCAUCAUCUUAGACACAUGUGGUGUAUCAUCAAGAAAUGUAACUUUUGGAGGGUGAUUGAGUCAUUGACUUCACUUAUCCAUAUUUUGUGCUUGUGCCUUGACCUUGUUCAUGCAGGGGGUUAUUUAAAGAUUUUUAUCCUCCGCGAUCUUGGUGAAUUUGGUGAUAACAUAAGCCAUCUUAGCUAAUUAUUUUUUUUACGAAUGUAGUGUCUGUUUAAGAAGGAAGAAGUAAAAGAGUUGGAAUGAUCGGAGGAGAUGUCCUUCUUUGACAUCUGAGUUGGUGAUCCAAAAUAUGAGUUGGUGCUAGAGUUGGUAUUGGUAAUAAAGUAAGGGGACUUAUCCUCAAAGUCUUUUAGUGUUGAAAAGUGUUUUCCUUACUAUGAGGAUUUUGACCCUUUGCUCCUAAAGAGGCCAAGGUGAUGAAUUGUUGGUACUCAUCAUGCGUUCUUAUUGGUUUUAGAAAACAAGUAUGCUUGCUUGCUUGUUUUAAUGAAAGUGCAGUAGUUGAUUUUGCUUUUCUAUGAGUCAUUGGGCCUAUAGGGAUGUUGUGUGUUGAUUGAGAAAUGACAAUCUUAUCAUUGCCUUGUUGACAUGCGUACCUUGAAUUUUUUUGGAUACCAUUGUCUUAUUAGUGAUAAUUUUUUUUAGUGAAAGAGAUGAGAGGUAAAGAUAUCCCAUUAGGCGUGCCAUAAAUUUGUGCACACAAAUUUUGUAAAGUCCUACAAAAUGAGUAAAAUUUGAAGGAAAAAUAAUACGAAUAAAAAUUUAUAUUAAGUUUGUCAUACAUUUCAUGAGGGAAACACAUCCAUUGAGUUUAUGAAAUUAAAGCUUUUUCCAUUCACAUUGAAGGAUAAGGCUAAGUUAUGGUUCAACUCAUUGAGGCCCCAAAGCAUAAGGUCAUGGUUGGAACUACAAACAACCUUCUUAAAGAAAUUUUUUUCCCACACAUCGCACAAGUGGCUUGAAAAGGUAAAAUUGCCAACUUUGUGGCAUUGGACGAUGAAAAAUUUUAUGCUUGUUGGGAAAGAUAUAUGGAAGUAGUCAAUGCUUGUCCUCAUCAUGGUUUUGACACAUGGAUGUUGGUGAGUUACUUCUAUGAGGGCAUGUCGCCAACUAUGAAGCAAUUGCUAGAAACCAUGUGUGGAGGUGACUUUAUGAGCAAAAGUCCCGAUGAAGCCUUUGAAUUUUUAAAUUAUGUGGCUGAAAUAUCAAGGUCUUGGGAUGAGCCACAUGAAAGGGAUUUACAUAGGUCCAAGUCUCAAAGCAAUUCAAAAGGAGGAAUGUAUAUGUUGAAUGAAAAUGUUGAUCUACAAGCUAAAAUGAUAGUUUUGACAAAAAGGCUAGAGGAACUUGAAGCUAAGGGAUUUCAUGAGGUGAAUGCAAUAUAUGAUAAUCCAAUUUACAUGGAGCAAUGUUCUAGUUGUCAAUCUAUAGAACAUGAAGUGAGUGAUUGUCCUACAAUACCAACUAUGGGGGAAACACUUGUUGAGAAUCAUCCGAAAAUGUCAUGGAAUUGUGGACAAGAGCAAUUUUCUUCAAGCCAAUACUCACAAAGCCAACAAUUCAUGGAAGACUUUCCACAACAAGUUCCUUUGGUUGAGCAAGCUAUUGUAAACUUGAGUAAAAUUUUGGGUGAUUUUAUUGGUGAUCAAAAGAAUAUCCAUACUCAAAUAAAUCAAAGAAUAGAUCAUGUGGCGAAAUCUUUCAAUCAUAAAUUUGAUAGCUUGCAAACUAAUCUCACACAAAAGAUUGAUAAUAUGUAGCUUGCUAUUUCUAAACUCACAAGCAUGCAUACGGUGCAAGAAAAAGGAAAAUUCUCUUCACAACCCCAACAAAAUCCAAGUGGAGCCCAUGAAAUUGGAGAGACAAGUGAAAGUUCUACUAAGGAGGAUGAAGUCAAAGCAAUCAUUACCUUAAGAGGUGGUAAGCAAGUUGAUCAACCUAUGCCAAAACCAAGAGAGAAUAAAGAUGGGGAACAAAAGGAAAAUGUGAAAGAACAAGAAAAAGGGAAAGAGGUGAAUGAGGAUGAUAGAUCAAAGGAAGAUGAGAUUGUUAAAGAAGAGGUUAAGAAGAAAGAUAUGCUCUUAGCUCCACCUUUUCCCAUGGCUCUUCAAUCCAAGAAAGUGGUAAAUAAUGCUCCAAAAAUUUUUGAAGUUCUCAAGCAAGUCAAAGUCAAUAUAGCACUCCUUGACAUGAUUAGACAAGUUCCAGCCUAUGCCAAGUUUCUUAAGGAUUUGUGUACCAUAAAGAGAGGGAUUCAUUUGAAAAAGAAAGCUUUCUUGAUGGAACAAAUUAGUGCAAUCAUCCAAUGCAAAACCCCAAUCAAGUAUAAGGAUUCGGGAUGUCUAACUAUCUCGGUGAAGAUUGGAAACACUUUUGUGAAAAGAGCACUUUUAGACUUGGGGGCAAGUGUGAAUCUUCUUCCUUACUCGGUAUAUAAGCAAUUGGGGCUUGGAAAACUAAAGUCUACUUCCAUCACACUUUCAUUGGUGGAUAGAUCGGUUAAGUUUCCAAGAGGAAUUACUGAAGAUGUGUUGAUCCAAAUCGAUAACUUCUAUUAUCUGGUUGAUUUUGUGGUGCUUGAUACACAUCAAGGAACUAGUGGACUCAACCAUGUUCCUAUUAUACUUGGCUGACCUUUCCUUGCCACAACAAAUGCAUUGAUUAAUUGUCGAAAUGGGGUGAUGCAACUUACCUUUGGUAACAUGACAAUUGAGUUGAACAUUUUCCCUUCAUGUAAGAAGCAUGGUACCAAAGAGGAAGAGGAACUUAAGGAGGCUUAUUUGAUUGAAUUGCCUAUGGAAGAGCUAGUGAAAGAAAAUGUUGAAGAUAAUUUUUCAAAACUUGGUGAAGUAAUUUCCAAUGAACGGAUUGAAGUUUGGAGGAUCAAUGAAGAAAUUCAACCUUUGAAGUUAAUGAAAUGGUCUUUCAACUUCAAGAAAGUGAAAUCCAUGAAGCAUGGUGUGCACAAUAAUCCAAAGACCAUGAAAAAGAAGCUCAAGGAAUGACAUGACCAACUUAUUCAAAAGAACAAGUUCAAAGAAGGCUAUUUCAAGCCACAUAUUUUUCCGGGAAAGCUUAAGUACCAAGGAGUUGGUUCAUUCAUUGUUUGCAAGUCAUAUCCAAAUUGAGUAUUGAUGCAAAAGUUAAUGGGCUUAGUCAUGUCAAUGGCUAGCUAGCCCAAUGAUUUCUCAAUUCUUUAGUUUCAUUUGAAUUUUGAUUUUUUGAUUUUGAUUUUUUUUAGUAUCCAUUAAAUAAAUCCAUCUCAAUUCUUUGAUUUGUGUUUUGAAGGACUUUUCAGAUGGAUGGAAUGCAUGAAGCAAGGAAAAAGGAGUUUUAAUGGUCCAUCACCAUUUUGCACGUUCAUGCAAAAAUAGGGGAAUCAUGCCAAAAAACAGGGGAGUUUUCAUAGCUUUGCAAAUGUGAAAAAUAAGUCUUUGUCCCAAUUUGCAUGAUCAUGCGAAAAUUUCGCAUGACUGUGCGAAACUGAUGUGGAUGACUACAACAAUUUGAUGCCCCUAGACCAUUUCGCAUCAGGAUGUGAAUUUUUGCAUCAAUAAGAUAAAGCUCUCUUCACCAAUUCGCAUGUACUUGCGAAUUUUCGCAUGAUUGUGCCAAAUUAUUUCAAAAGAAGAAAGUAGUUGCAACGCACUUCACCUUCUUGUCUAGUUUGCACACUUGUGUGAAAUUUUCAAAAACUCCGUGAGAAUCAUUGACUUAUCAUUGAAAUCAUGUUUCCUUUGGACAUUGUCAUCAUCUAUACCUUGAUUUUACUCCAUACAUUGUCUCUAACAUAGUUUUUUUUGGUUUUUAAUACAUUUUUUUUAAUAUUUUCUUCUCUUAUGUCAUUCAUAUCCAACAAUUCUCAUGUGUAAUCUUAUUUUUGUUUUAGCUAUUGAAGCUGAAAUUCAUGAGAGAUUGAGGUAUCUUCCCUUCCUUUCUUUGUAUAUUUUCAUUACACAUUGAGGACAAUGUACAAGUUAGGUUAGGGGGAGGAUUAGUUUUGAGUACUAUAUUCGGGGGCUAGCUUAAUUACACUCAAGACUUGUUUGGAAAGAUUGUUUGGGGAAUGAAGAUGGAUACGUUUUUGAUACCUUGAUUUGCAUGAUAUUCUUUCUAUUAGAGAUAGUAAAUAAGUUGGGAUUUUGUUGAUACCUAUGGAUAAUAGGGUGUGCUUGUUUAUCAACCAUUUAUGCUAUGGAAAUUUCAAAGAUUUGUUUUCAAAUGAUUUGCUUAUGUGACUUGUGAUUUCUUUUGUUGGCAUCGUUUUUCUUUCCUUUUGUUAUACCAUUGCUAAGGGACUAGCAAUGUGUUGGUUGGGGGGAAUGCUUACUACUCAAAAAGAGCAUAUUUUAGAUAAUAAUUCUCACGAGUUUCACAUCUUUUGAGUAGUAAUUAUGCCUAAAACACUCAAUUAACAUGUUUUUGCCCUUCCAAGAGUUACUAACAAGUUUUAUGAAGUUUUGGAGUCAUUUCAAGGUAUGAUUUUGAUAAAUUGGUGACAAAAGAGAUGAAUCAAAUUGAAGAAAACAAAUAAAGUUGAUGAUGAUCCAAAUGCAUAAUGAAAGAAGCAAUGCAAUCGGUUUGGAUUGGGAUUUGGAGCUGAAUUGAAGGUGGUAGAGGUGGAUUAAAAAUGAAAAAAUGGGAAAAUUUGCAAAGAGGAGUCGAAAAAGCAUGUUUUUCAAUUUCGCAUGACCAUGUGAAAUGAAACAGAAUGGGUUUUGGCUGUAGCAUACUAAGAGAAAAGUGAAAACCAAUUUCACAUGACCAUGCGAAAUUUUCUCACAGUCAUGCGAAACGGUCCAAGAAGACGAAAAUAAUGCUGAUGGAUCCUCCACUUCGCACCAUCGUGCGAAAAUGUAUGUUCUCCAAAUUCCUUGAUGAAGAAGCCUCUGGAAGACCUCUUAGAUGAUGCCAAGUGUCCACUUGACCUUGGCCUAUAAAUAGAAACUUGAUUGACUUAUUUGAAGACUUUUGAUACAUUUCUAAUUUGAGAACUUUCCAGAUUUCUUCUCUUUAUAUAAUUCUCUACUUUCCUUCAUUUUCUCUCAUUUUCUCUCAUUUUCUCAAUAGCCAAACAUGUUUUGUGAGAUCAAAUCUCCAAGCAUGAGUGGCUAAAUCUCGUUUUUCUAGGGGGAGGUUAGAUCUAUGUUGAAUUAGAGAAAUGAGCUUGAAUUGCAAAGGUAAUUUGAUCCAAUUGAUUGAUUAAUUGAAAUUUGGGGAUUUUUCUCUUCAAAUUGUCUUGGAUGAUUACUACAAUGCAAGCUAGGUAGAUUAAUCAAAUUCUUAAAACUAGAUUUGAUGAGAUUGAAUAGUUGCAUUUUGUGAAUCAUUGGAAGAUAAUUUAAGAUGAAUUGAAUUGAUCUCUUGGAUUAAAUGGCCUAAUUUGAAGAGAAAUUAGAUCUAGACCUAAAGCUAAAUCAAAAAUCAGUUUAGAUGAAAAUUUAGGUUUUCAAUCUAACUUGAUGAAAAUUAGAUCUCAACAUCUAUUCACCAUGGAAAUUGCUUUCUAGAAUAUCCUAACUCCGAGAAUUUCAUCUCCUAUUAAUUUUCUUUUAUUUUACAUUUUAUUUUUCUUCUCAAUUUUAGACCAUUGUCAAAUUGAUUUUUCAUCAUGAAUUUUCAAAUCAAUUUCACUUGAUCACAAUAAUUUCUUAUCCUAUCAUUCAAGCCUUAAUUACUGAGAAUAAUUCAUCCUAGUGGACAACACCUAAAAACCACUUUACUAGGUAGUUUGUACUAAAAAAAUUUUUGAUCGGGUACAAGCUGCUCUAGAAUAGUGAAUUAGGUUAUAAAUUUUGUUUUGAUAAAAUAAACAACAAAAAUCUGAGCGAUCAACAACUCUUAAACAAUAGGAGUGCAUUUGCUUAUUUUCUUCUUUGUGUUCGUUUUAUGCUGAAAGCGCAAUAUGAAGUGGUACUUUUAUAGGGUAAUGCAAUUUGAAUGUUUAUUAUUAAUUCUUAAGUUCAAUGAAUUUGUUAGUGGUUAAUAAAAAGAGUACCAUUUGAAAUACUAUUAAUAAACAAUGUGAGAGAGAUGAUAAUCGAAAAGCAAGAAGAUCAUAGAUAUAUUAAGAGUUCUUUCACAUGUAUAGUUAGUUUUUUAUUACCUUUUACUCUUGUCCGAAUGUAUUUUGUUAGAUAAAUCUAAUUUCAUUGAACAUGUAGAAGAUUCAUAUCUUUCUUCAAAUGUAGUAAGAAGUCUUACAAUUUCAUGGUCCUUUAGGAGAGCUUAAUAACAUAAAGGUUCCUUCCAUAGUUAAAUGAUUUUUUAUUUGGUUGGUGAUUGUAGACUUUAAACAAAGGAAUACUACAAACCUUUGGACUAUUUGAUUCUUAGCUACUUUUAUUAUCAUGUUAUAGGUUGAAAAAUAUUUUAUAGUAAUUUCAUAUAUUCAUCUAGACAAACAAUAUAU